rnacentral:lncRNA from 1 species
CCGAUGUCGAUGCCGAUGUGGGGAUAGUUCGGAUCCCACGCGCCGUUGACGUAGGUGUCGAACUCGACGGCGAAGACCGAGGGGCUGCUGCCGGAGGAGCCGAAGAUUCCGAGGUUGGAUCCGCUAGAGGAGGAAGGGAUGGUGGACCCGACGGGGGCGAUGAAGAAGGCGAGGCCGUCGGCGGCAGAGUUGCCGGGGCCAGGUGUGAUGAUGAAGUUUACGGUGGUUUCAAAGUCGACUUGGCCGCCGGUUUGUGAGAACUGGACCGGGUUCGAGUACAAUACCCGGCCAACUUUGGCGGUCUGUGCGUCGGUGAGGCGGAGGAAGGUGGAGUCCGACGGGAAAUGGGCGUCGCCUUGGUAGGUGAGGUCGGUCGGCUGGUCGCCCCAGAAGUCGUAGGUGAAGGACGUCGAUUGGGACUGCGCCACGUUGGCGGCGGCGAGGAGUAGGGCGACGGAGGAGAGGAGAGGAAUUAGGGUUUGGAGAAGCUUGGCCAUUGCUUAAUUGAUUUGGAUGUGGUGGAUGAUGGUGAUAUGUCUUAAGCUUGCACUCCUAUAUAUACUAGUGUAGUUCAUGCAUGAUAAUGUUGUUUAAUCAUCAUAUAUUUUAUUUCAUUAAAAUGAAUCACCUCGUCCAUUCGAGGUAAAUGAACCAUGUGAUCUUAUGUACUACCAGCCACAUUUUAAUUUGCUCGUUGGAAUAUUAUCUAUAGUUGUAUCUAUUGUAUUUGUAUAAAUGAUUUUUGGAAGGGAACUUAGAAAAAGUUCUUGAUAGGGGCUGUAUUUUUUAAUUUCAAGUGCAAAAUUAAGUUUUGAUAGACAAUUUACUUAUGAUUCAAUUUAACGAUCGGGUUUUCUGAAAAAAAAAAAUUCACACAAAAAAUCGAUUAUUUAAUAAUUUUAUAAGAAAAAAGAAGAAGAAGAAAUUUUCUAUUUAGGAUAUACACGAGCAGAUGAGAUCCUCUGUCCCACUAUUUUGUGUGUACCACCAUGUACCAUUCUUAAUUUAUUUAUUUUAGUAAUUAUUUUUUAUAAAAAUAAAAAUUAUUAUUAUAUUUUUUAUUUUCAUUUAAGUGAGUUACUAGAUUUAUUUGGGGUGAGCACAGGUUAUUUUGGAAAAGGAGAAUAUCUGUAAGAUGAUGUGAAAAUUAUUCAAUAUAAGCACAUAUAGGGGUUGAGUUCUCAAAGGAACUUAAUUAAUAUCCAAUGUGAUUGAUACAUUUCGACUAAAUGGAUGGACUGUGACGCCCCGACCAAAAGUAAAGAGUGAUUGUGAUCGGUGCACAAGGCAUGGAUGAAAAGCGGUUCCUAGUAAUGCUUCGAUACGGAGGAUACAUGAAUGAAUCGAAACACACCAGAAAGAGAGGGAUUCCAUGAGUACGUACGCAGGUAUAUGACUGCAUAUUCGAGGAGCUUAAAUAAUUUUAUUGGUGUUACUCAUAUCAACAAGAUGCAUCUUCUUUUUUGGUGACCAUAUGAAAUAAACUCCAAGGUUAAGCGUGCUUGGCGUAGAGCAACUUGAUGAUUGGUGACCUCCCUAAGAAGUUUAUCAGAAAGCGUGCUAGUAAGAACAAAACAUGCUAGAAAAGACUCAUAUUAGUCUGUGGGGACAGCCGUUAAAUUUGGAUUCGGGUCUUUACAAGUGGCAUUAGAGAUUAACCUCUCACAGUAUGGUGCGGUUCGGGAACGAACCAAGCGGAAGUUGGUACUCAAUAUUCCAUCUAUUGUGAGUUUCUUUGUCUUCUUCAUCUUUCUUUUACUCUGCUGUCGAGUUUCAGAGAGUAAUCAGAUAGGUUUUCAUUCGAGUUGAGUUUCUUGAGUGAUAAACUGUUAAUUGUGAGUUUCAUUCGAUCAUUUGUUGAUUAUAAAUAUCUGCACAUGGAUAUUGGUCAAUUUAGAUACACUGAUCUUCAAAUUGAUUGACGAAUCUUUAGAAUUCAAAAUUUAAAUCAAAUACGCGUGUUCAUAGUUAAUUGGUAAGUACACUUUUUUUUNAUAUAAAUAUAAUUGACUCGAGAUCUCUGCUACUUACGCAUACUUCGCUCGAGACAAAAAUAAAUAAUUGAUCAUUGAGAACUCCGCUACCACACCAUACUCGUGUACUAUUUAUCAUUGUUUAUGAUUAUUAAUAAAGACGUGUCUUUGCCUGAUAAAUUUAAUUUUCAUACUCUUGAUUCUUUUUUGGCCAUAUCAUUUUUUAAAAAAUUGGGAGGGGAAUGGUGGAAAUUGAAUAUGAAAAAUACCAGUCAAAUGAUACAUGUGCACUUUCAAAGACAAAACAUAAAUGUAACCUUCGUUUGUAAAACAUAGAAAUUCUACCAUAUAUUUGUGAUUAUUUUACCUUUAUACGAUCUAUUUAUAUAUAUUUAUUAGAAUUAAUAAAAAUAUACUACAUUCGUCCACGAAAAAGAAUCUCAUUGUGUGCUGGAUGUGAGUCGUAUCGAGAGUGAGAGGGAACACAUUGUCUCCGGUCUCUGCCGUCUUGGCGAGAUCUUCGGCAUUGGCCUGAUCCGGCCGCUGAGGUGGCCGGUAGGUCAUCCAUGGAGUAUGGCUAUAUUCAUACUCGUAUCCCAUUUUGGUUGUAGAACAAGAAGGCGGUGUUGUUGAAAUCGUCGUCGUUGAUAUCCUUUGGAAAACCGGCUGGGAUAGUUUUCGCCAUUAGAGUGAUGUGCGUAGAAGAGAGGAUCUUCCGGCGGUCUUCGCGGAAACCGUUGUCGCGUGUCCAUAGUUCAUGGAUUGAAAAUAUGCAGGUAAAGCACCCGGCGUACUCGGCCAUACAAUUAACUCGCCAUCAUGAGCUAUAAUUCUAUUCGAGUAAGUUCAAUCUCUAAUGAAUUAAUAUAUUUUUAUAAAUAUAUAAUUUGCAAAAUAACCUUAAAAUAAAAUAUGUAAUAAGGGUAAAAUAGGCAAUCCACAUGUUGUGCUCAAUGCUCUUUUUAUAUUACUAGGAGAAAGAUAAUUAAUGUUAUUUUAUCUAAUAAAAUAAAAAAUAUAAAUAUAAUAUUUAUUAUAUUUAAAUUUUUAAUUAACAAUUUUGUUUAUUUAAUUCUCUUAUCUCUUACAAUAUUUUUUUUUAGAAAAUCUAUUAGUUCAUUACUUCGACUAAAUAUAAUUUAUUGGAUAGAUAUAUUUAUUUAUAAGCCUUAUCAAUAGCUAUAGAUAUAUAUUACAUAGAUUUAAUGUAAUAUUUAAUGAAUCAAUAGCUCUUUUCUUUUAUAUUAGUAUAGAUUAUAUAGAUAGAUAUAUAUAGUGCAUGCAUGAUAAUGUUGAUUGAUCAUCGUAACUAUAUAAUUUAUUGCACUAAUAAUGAAUCACGUUCCCACUCGAGGUAUAUAAAAUGAAUCAUGUGACCUUUUCUACUACCCGACACAUUUUGCUCCUUGGAAUAUUAUUUAUAAUUGUGUCUAUUGUAUAGUGCAUGCAUGAUAAUGUUGUUUAAUCAUCAUAAAUCUUCAUGGCUCAUCCACCUCAUCCAAUCGAAGCAUAUAAUGAACCAUGUGAUCAUAUCUACUACCUGACACAUUUUGCUUCUUGGAAUGCUAGCUAUAAUUGUAUCUAUUGUGUGAAUGUAAGCAAAAGGGCGCGCACAAUUUUUUAUUUUUUUUUGGAUAGGUGACUCGCUCAAAAUACCUAUUGAAUUGACUCGUAAUCGCACGAGGUCAUUCUAGCGUAGUAAGCUAACCCAUGUCGUAUCUCACAAGGAAGAUUAAGCAGGACGACUAAUUUUGGAUUAUUUUUAAUCAAAUGUUGGAUAUUUUUUAAUUAGAGUAAAAUUAAAAUAAGUAAAUUAUUGUAUAUUUUCAGAUUCGGAAACUAAUGGCUUUAUUUUAAUUUAAUCAUUUUCAUAUGUCAGUUAUAUUAUGUAAAUGACGUUUUUAGUAACAAACAAAUGACAUUUUAAUCAAUAAAUGAUACUUUUAUCAAUAAUAAAUGAAACCAUAUUAAGGUAAAUAGGGUAAAGGUUAGACUUAACUGUGAAAGCAUCAUGAGUUUUAUGUGUAACAUUUUCGGUGUGAAAAUUGAUGAGUUAAAAAAAAUGCUCCAUAUUGAAUUCGACAUUAGAUGAAUCUACAGUAGAUUUUCAUGCAUGAUCUAAGAGCUGAAAAUGAUUCACGGUCUAUAUUUAUUCUAUCAAAUUCCAUAUCACUUUAAAUCUCAAAUUACAUUUGCACUAUAUAUGAUUAUAUCCUAAAUUAUCAUAAAUAUGAACCGCUUAAAUCUGGCGUCGUUGCACCGCGGACAUCUUGCCGCUGCUUUCUCCCACCAUUGCCCUUGCUGCCCUCAUCUUAGGUGCCAAUUUUUUGCUCGUCGUGCAGAAUUUGAAAGGGGUAAAUUAUUUUUUCAAUUUUUUAUUGCAUUUUGCUGUCUAAGUUGAUUUCUCAAGUAAAGUGGACUUGGGUUUUGUUUCGAUUAUAGCUGAAUUCGAUGGCGCUGUGUGGUUAGAUCUGUAAUUUUGACGUGUUGUUGAAGUGUGCGGGAUUGAAUGUGAUCUGGGAGAAUUUAAGGGUUUUGGGACGUUAGUAUGAUGAUGGUGGGAUUUGAAUGAAUUUGAAUACCAGAUUAUGGUUGAUGUUUAAUUAUGUGAAUCUUGCGAUCUGUGUUGAAAUUAAUGUACAGUAUCUUCGCCUAGCCGGGGGUUCACCAUUUGGUUCCCGACCGUCCUGCUGCCUUCACUCCACACUCAAGUGCCAAUAUCUUCUUCUCGUUUCUCUUCCUUCUUCUUCUCCUCUUAGUACCUGCAAGACAGAAGGAAAAACCAGCAAGUAUAAAGAAAAAUCAGAAAACUUAAAGAAGUAAAGAAAGAAAGAAAACAAAGGAAACUCGAGGUGGGAAAAAGGUGUCCUCGGGACACAGGUGGCUCAGAUUUUUCCCACAGUGGCAACACACUCCGGCAGCUCAAAGACCACGGCACAAAGGGGAAGGGAAGUCAGAUCGGAGCUCAAAUCUGACGAGCACAGCCACCAAUAAUCAGGAAUCCGGUGGACAGGAUUCCGGCGGCUCAGAAAUCCUUCGCUUUAUCACCAAACAGGAAAUCUAAGGUCAGCAAUCCGACAAUAAUGCUAUCAACAGGAGGAAGCUCUCACUUUACGGCCACAACACCGGAAACCAGAACGGAAACCAGAGAACAGAAGGAAUAGCAGAGCCUUCAAGGUUGUGAACAUACUACAGAACUUCCCCCAAUCGAUUGCUUUAUAACCGAGACAGAGAAGGGUCGGGAAGAUGUAGUGGGCUUUGGGAAGGAGGAGGAAGCCAUUAAUGGUGGUGGAGCUCGAGGGAAAGCGAGAUCAGCAGUCGUGAAGACUUAGGGUUUGGGAGGGGAUUUGAGGUGGAGCGGCGGAGGUUGAAAUGAGGGAAAGGCCGAGUGAGAGAGGGAGUAUUUCAGUGGAUAAUGGGCUAGGGUAUUUUUGAGUUAACGGGCUAUAGGUGUCUGGGCCCAAAAGUUGGGCCAGAGAAGGGAUAAAGAGCAUUGGGCCAACAUUCCACAAUUAAGACAAUUAAGAGUAGAAAUUCUUCUUGAUUUGCUAAUUUAUUUAGGAUUAGCGAUAUUAGUUUGGAGUUUUAGAUGUCGAUUGAUUUCGUGAUCUUGAUUUAUGUGAUAAAUGCCUCUCAUCACUAAGAUUUGGAAUAUAUUGGAUAUCUAGGAUAGUGAUAUUAGUUUGGAGUUUUAGAUGUUGAUGUGUCUUUUUAGGCUGCGUUUACUUUGAUGGAUAAAUUUAUAUAUGGAAAAGGAUGGAUAACACAAAUUUAUGCUUUUAAAUGUCUCCUUCCUCUUCCAACAUUUGACACAAAAAGAGAUGCUCGCUAUUUUUUCUUCCUUAUCUUCACUUCAAGGAUGGAUAAUAUUAUCCCUCCAUUUUGGUGUGAUAAUAUUAUCCAUCAUUGAAGUGAAGAUAAGGAAGGAAAAAUAGUAGAGCAUCUCUUUUUGUGUCAAAUGUUGGAAAAGGAAAGAGACAUUUAAAGGCAUGAAUUUGUGUUAUUCAUCAUUUUCCAUAGAUAAAUUUAUCCAUCAAAGUAUACGAAGCCUUAUGUGAUAAAUGCUUUUUUAGGGGGGCCCACGGGCAUGCUGCCCCAUAUGCUAUGGAGUAUGGACCAUGGUGGCUCGGUCACUGCGCUCUCGAUUGCGAAUUAUUUUGCAUUAUCUUUGUUUGUUUUUCUUAUAUUGGGAAAGAAAACAUAGAGUAAUAUAUAUUUUAGAAGUCCAGUUACCAAUGUCGUCAAUCUCGAGUGAAAAUAAAUAUUACCAUAACACAAAAAUGACAAAGCUAUUGAUUAGUGACGAUAUGUUAGAAGUUCAGAUAAACAACACAUUUAUUCUUGUGUAUAUUAUAUUAACGUUUAUUAUAUAUUAUAAAAAGAACAUAUUCUUUCAAAAUUAUCUUGUCUAUUUUUAGAAGUUCAGAUAAACAACACAUUUUCAGAAGAAAUUUAAUAAUCUCUUACGAUUUACAUAUAAUUUUUAAAUAAUUAAUUAUCUCAGUGGUGAUAAAAUAAAAAAACGAAGUAAUUUAUUAUAUACAAAAUAUUAUGAUUUAUGUUUGUAUAUUAUUUGUUUCCAUUAGUGCAUUAUCAUUUCUAAGUAUCUUCUCACUUGUUCACUGAUUCACUAUUGGAUUAACAUGAAUAUACGAAUUUCAUAGUAUACCAACCGUUCGAUAAAAGUCCUCAAAGAAAUCUUCCAUAGAUAACCUUGCAAAAGUACGUGUAUCUAUAUUAAUAGAAUAAGAGCCUAAGGAAUCUUAAAACACAAUUUUUGGAUUGCCUAUUUUACCACUAUUAUAUAUUAUUUUAAAAUUAUUUUACAUAUUAUAUAUUAAUAGGAAUAUAUUAAUUCAUUAGAUAUUACACUAAAUCUAUGUGAUAUAUUUCUAUAGCUAUUGAUAAGGCUUAUAAAUAAAUAUAUAUCCAUCUAAUAAAUUAUCUAAUAAAAGUAAUGAAUUAAUAGAUUUUUUAAAAUAAUAAAUUAUCAAAUAAAAUAACAUUAAUUACACACGUACGUUCUUUCUGCUAGCUAGUUAAAUAAAAAGAAGAAGAAACUGAGACUGAAAAAGGGAGAAUUAAGAUAGUCCAUUAUUAUCGUCUUAUUUUUAGAACUUAAACGAGAGAAAAGUCCAUCGCUAGUCCUAAUUUACAACACAACACAACACAUGAUAAUAAAUUUAAAUCACACAUAUUGCCGGAUGUACCCUUCCUCCUCUUUGCCGGCGGCGGCAUGCACGAGGGUGGACGUGAAAUACCACGAGACGAUGUCGUGCACGGCGUCUUGGCCUCCGGUGGCCGCGGAGAUCCCGACCUGAACCUGCUGAGGAAGAAUGGCGCUCAGGUCGUACACAUAGCUCACCUCGUAUGUUUGCGAGCCGGCGGCGAGGCUCACGCUGAUCAGCUUAGUGGCUUCCAGGUAGUUGAUGCGCGCAGUCACCUGCUGCCCGAGCAACGCGUUGCCGACGUUGGUCACGUUUUUGGAAACAUUAGAUUCGAUGUCGAUCCCGAUAUGGCGAUAGCUAGGAUCCACUCCGGGGUUGGAGAAGACGUCGAAUUCCACGGCGAAGACGGCGGGGCCGACGCCGGAGGAGUUGAAGAUUCCGAAGCAGCCGCCGGUGAAGCCGAGGGGUAAGCCGACGGGGGCGAUGAAGAAGGUCACGCCGUCGGCGGGGUUCGUGUCGCCUGCGUUGGGGGUUACGGCGAACGUCAGGGUGGUCUCGAAGUCGACCUGCGCGCCGGCCUCCCAGAACGUGAUCGGGGCUGAGUACACGGCCCGGCCGACGCUGUACUGGACCGCGCUGCCGGAGCUGGUGGUGUUGGUCAUGCGGAGGAAGGUGGAGUCCGACGGGAAGUGGGCGUCGCCUUGGUAGAGGAGAUCGGUCGGCUGGUCGCCCCAGAAGUCGUACGUGAAGGCUGUCGAUUGGGACUGCAUGCGCCGUGUUGGCGGCGGUGGCGAGGAGGAGGGCGAUGGAGAUUAGGGUUUGGAGAAGCUUGGCCAUGGCUUAAUUGAGUUAGUAGUAUUUGCUUUGGAUGUGGUGUGAUGAUGGUGUAUUGGUGUUAACUCUUGCUCCUAUUUAUGCUAGUAUAGUGCUUGAAUGAAAAUGUUAUUUAAAUUAACAUCAUAUUUUUUAUUACACAAAAAUGACUCACCCCAUCUUCUCGAGAUUAACUGAACUUGUGAUCUCUAAUAAUUUAUAACCUACCACAUUGUAGUUGUUGGAGUAUACUCCCUCUGUCCCGGUUUUAGCACGAGUUUUAAUAAAUUGGUUGAUUGUAUUAUGAGUAGAAUAAGGAUAAUAUUUUUUAUGGAAGUGUUAAAAUAAUUAAAAUUGAGAAAAUGUUUCACCUAUUUUUAUUAAAAAUAGAAAUGAAUUUUAAAAUAUGGGACGACGGCCAGAAAAAGAAAAUAUAUAUGGAUACUAAAAGUUGGGACGGAGUGAGUAUUAUCUAUAGUGGUAUCUAUUGUAUGAGUACAAGAGAUUUACUUGACUUGUUGAGGUAUGGAGAGAUUAUUACAAACCACGUGAAAUUGAGUUCUUGCUCCCACUGUAAAAGCAAUAAAUAUAGGGAAAAGAAAAUUAAUACUUCCUUCGUCCAAGAAAUGAGUACACAUAUUUCUUUUUUAGUCCGUUCAUGAAAUGAGUACUCAUUAAUUUUUCUUUUUAUCAAGUGUACCUCACACAACCCUUUAAUUAAUUAAUACCUUUAAAAAGUGGGUCCCUUAUUCCACUAACACCACACUCAAUCAUUUCUUAAAACCUGUAACGUCCCCAAAUGAGAUUCAUUUCGUGGAUUGAGUAAAUUCUAUACUACAAAUUAAUGGUUCGAAUUCACUUUAAAAAAUAAACUACAAUUAAGAGUCCCUCUCUUAAUUGGAAUUCAUAGACCAUCUGCUUCAGUCGUGCCCGAAGACAGAAAAGGUUUGGAUUGGAAUUCAUAGGUGGCUAGGGAAUAAAAGCAGUGUGGCCUCAAUCAUUGAAGCACACUUCGAUUUGUUCACAAAUCUUGACAAAGGAAAGGAAGGUCGAUUUUUCUAGCGACAGUAUGGGUCUAUACCAUUUGGUUGCUGUGGAAAUGACGUAACGAGAGCAGAUUUGAGGGCAAGACUUGGGAGAUCAAUGACGUGAUCGAAGAAGUGAAAGUGAGGAUGUGGAGUUGGAACAAGAUUUUUGGACUACAUGUUAAAGAGAUUAGCUCUCAAUCUUGGUUUUCUUGUGAAACUCCUCUUGUUUUGUGUAAUUUGGUCGUAUCUCUGGUACCAAACUCUCUCCUAAUAAAAUUUCUUUUCUGAUUAAAAAAAAAAAAAAGAGUCCCUCUCUUAAUCAAGUAGACUGGAUGCGGUAAGAGAGAAAUCACUUCCAACUUAUCGAUUUUACUAGCAACAACUAGAUUUAUACUGAAGCUAAAUUGGAUCAGACUCUAGGAUUCACUAGUCUUUUACUCAAGGUGAGUCGGUUUACGAGUCUCAAACUCAAGGUGAACUAGAAUGUCUGUCAAUACGAACGUUGGGAGUUCGAGGGUUUUUUAGGACAGUAACUUAGAUUGAUUUGGAAAUUAGGACAAUAACUUUCGGACUUGUAAAAAUAGGACUCUAAUUCUUUUUAAGAGUAAAAUAGGACACUAAUUAAUAAGUGUUACAUCCGCAGGACAUUUUUCGGCCAAUUAUCGGCCGAGAAAUGUCCUACUUUUACGACGCUUAUUAAUUAGUGUCCUAUUUUUACAAAUUCGAAAGUUUUGUCUUAAUUUUCAAAUCAACAUAAGUUAUUGUCCUAAAAAAUCCCCUGACUCCGAACGUUGGAACAAGCUCGGCAAUAUACUGCUAUUCAACAUUAAUGGCACUUUGCACUAAAUGAAUUGGUGUCGAAUUAAUACAUCGUCUUGCUGCUCAUAUCUAUAUAAUAAAUGCAUACCUGCACCUCGAUAUUAAUCAAUUUAGAUACACUAAAUCUCGGAUAUACUUAACAAAUGGAUUAAUAAAUGUAUAAAUUUUAGAUUUCAGAAAAUCAAAUACAGGUGUUCAUAAGGAAAUGAUUAAAAACCCGUGUGUCAUUUAGAUAAGAUUAUUAUAGUACAGUUAACGAUGGUGAAAUAUUCUUUUACAUUAGAUAUAAUAGCAUUCCAGAUCUCAAUGGCAUUUUUUGUUAUAACAAAAAAAAAUUGUAUAUGUUCCAUACUAUCCUCAAACUUCAAAUUAUUAUUUUUCUUUAUUUUAAAAUUUGUAUUGGCACAUAUCUGUCAAUUAAUCAAAUUCAUAUCAAAACAAUAAUUCGAAUGAUAUAUUAGUUGGCUAGCUAUAAAUUACAAAUUAUUAGUGAUUAGGCAUGUUUUACACAAAUUAUUAGCCCAAACAACAUUUGAUUGUGUGCAAUGCACACACUUACUAAAAGCAGAUGUGAUCAUCUGUCCCACAAUUUAGUGUGUAUCACCGUGUACCAUUCUUAAUUUGUCUAUUUUAUAAUUAUUUGUUGUAAAAAUAAAAAAAAUAUUGUUAUAUUAUGAACUCUAAUUAAAAUUUAUAACUAAAAAUAAAAAUUAAAAAAAAUUAUAUACCCUAACUUUGAAUUAAUUAACCCAAAUAAUCAAUUAUUAAUUCAAAUAAAUAUAAAAAAUAAUUAUAAACUCUAAUUGAAUGAGUGAACCCUUAUUAAUUAGUUUCUUAUUAUAUUAUAAUAAAUUAAAAUUGAAGAAAAUAUAAUUAUAUAUUAUAAUAAAUUAAGAGUGGUACACGGUGGUACACACUAAAUUGUGGGACAGAUCCAUGUGCACUAAAUUAUAGGUACGGAGGUGCGGAUGCGGGGGCGAUACGAUACGAGUACGGGGAUACGGGUUCUAAAAAAUUAUAGGGUGCGAUUCGGCAAGGAUACAUCUAAUUAUUAAAAUUUUAUGAUAUACUAAUUGUUAGAAAUGGAUAUUGGGCCAAUUCCUCCCUUAAAAGGCCUUAUAAGGGAGAGGGUUACCUCACCAUAUAAAGUGGCUCAUGCCACUAUCUCCAAUCCAAUGUGGGACACUUCAAUACUAAUGCUUAUAAAAUAUAUACAAUUUAAAUUUUCUUAAAUUAAUUAUAUGUAAUUUACAUUUUAUUUUACCCAAAAGUUAAGCAUUUUCAAUUAUAUAAGUUAAUUGAGCAACAAUAUAACGAUUCAAAUAUUAUUAGUCCAAUAUAUAAGUCAUAACUGAAAAUAAAAUUAUCAAAAUAACCUUGUGUAGGCCUUUCGUGCACGAGAUACGUGAAUUUCGCCUAUGGAAUUUGCAAAUCCGGUUUAUUUUUAUAAAUUGUUUUAAAAGAUACGCACUGGUGAAUCGGUGCGAAUCCGACAAGAAUUCGAGAAAUCACACCCUAAAAGAAUCCGAUUCGCCGUACAUCUAAUUUUUGAAGAAUCCGUGCAUCAUAGGUGAGAAGAAACACAAGAGAGUAAAAUGGUACAUAAUGUAGAAAGACUUUUCUCCAAAAUAAAUGUUACAGUCUUCUAAUAGUCGAAAGGCGCAUGAAAAUGCGCAGUUAUUCGAAAGAAAGGAAAGGCUUAUUCAGCCACACAAUGACAUGGAAUUCGAAUUGAAAUUGAAAUUCAGACAAAUCCCAAACACGGUGAUGCAGAGAUCAAGCGGUAACACGAGGAAUGAUCUUAAUACCACCGAUGGUAACUUCGUCGCCGUUAAUGUGGGGAACGAUGGUGACGACAAUGAAAUCAUCAUCAGCAAUAUUGAUGUUCUCAUAGAGCUCCCUCAAGUUCAAGCGAAGGUCGUUGGCGCUUUCCGCAGCCCUAACCCUAUGCGGAAUCUGCGUGAAACUGCCGGCGAACUCGGCCCUGGCGAGGUCCUCUGGCUUGUCGUCUUCGUCAUUCACGAACACAUCGAACCUCACGAGCUUCGAACUAUCGGUGAUUAUGUUCUCCAGCACGAGCACUUCGUCGGCUUUGCCUUUGGUUGGUUUGGGCACCAAAACCCUGUGAGUCUUGUUGAGAGUGAGAGGGAACAGAUUGUCUCCACUCUCUGCCCUCUUGGAGAGAUCUUCGAUAUUCACCGGCACCUCCCUCCGCGGUGGCCGGUAGGCUGUCCACGGAGUUUCGCUGUGUUCAUACACGUAUCCCAUUUUGGUGUGGUCCAAGCAGUCGGCCACCUUGACGCGCACGAGGUUCUUCUUCUCGUCGUAGAACAUGAACGCCGCGUUGUUGAAAUCGUCGGGGUUGGGGACGACGAGGUCGUUGAUAUCCUUGGGGAAAACGGAUGGGAUAGUUUUCCAUAUGGUCCACAUUCUGUCGACGUUAGCGUGAUGUGCGUAGAAGAGAGGGUCUCUUCCGGCGGAGUAGAAGUUCCCCAUGUCUUCGCGGAAAUCGUUGGCGGGGUUUCCGGUCCAGACGUGGACGCCGCCGUGUGAGCCGCCCUCCGACAAUCCUCCCUUGGCGCGUGGCGGGGGCAAGUCCCCGGAAACGUAAGGAUCGCCCAUGAAGUCGAUGGCGGAUUCGACAUCACCAAUCAUUUCCUUGUACAUCUGAGUGAGAUUGUUUUCGAUGAUCGUUACAGGAUCGGUGAUCGGGGGGGUGGUUAUGGCAAGAGCAACGAGGGCCGGGGGGCGAUGCGUUGGGUCGCGGUUGACGUCGUAGAGCGGGGAUUCUUCCCUGUCGAACGGCCUGGGCAUCUGCAUACCCCUAGGGUUGUCCCAGUUCCAGUAGGGCAGGGCGAAAUCGGGAUCUCCGAUGAGUUCGCCCAUGAUCCUCUCGAAGAAAUAGAGGUACCACCUGUGGAAGGGGUGGAUCCAGAAUUUGUCAUUAGGAGGGACUAAAUUUGUUGAAGCAUGACGUCUCAAAUUAUUAGCCAAUUUUUUUUAGCAUUCCAUACAGUUCAUUUUUUUGUCGAACUACAUUCGAUUAAUUCAACAACAAGAACAUUGAAAGCAUAUAAAUACUUACCUCUCAAAAAUUGUUUCAUCUUCUAAGAAGAUAAGCUAAUUUUCAUCAUGGCAGUUCAUAAUUUUAAUUUAACUUGAGGAUUGACUCAAAUUCAACACUGAGAAUCAACUAAGAAAGGAAAGUAGACAAAAAUAACAUAAAUUUAACAAACUAACAUAUCAAAUUUAAAUCACUAUAAAAUAUUAAACAGUUAAAACGUGGAUACUAUAAUUAAUAAAACAAUGUAUUUUAUUAUCUCUUGUAUUUCUUAUCUAUACUAAUAGAAAAAGAGUCUAAGACAGUCUAAGGCACAACUUGUGGAUUGCCUAUUUUACCCUUAUUAUAUAUUUAUUAUUAUAUUUACAAAAUAUAAAUCUAUUUUGAUAAAUAUUUAUUUGUCACUCAAAUCUAUAAAGAAUACUUUAUAUCUAUAGCUAUUGAUAAGGCUUAUAAAUAAAUAUAUUCAUCCACAACGUACGUUCUUUCUGCUAGUAUAUAAUAAAAACAAAAACAAAAAACUCAAAAUUUGGGAGGCGGUCGAUCCGCUGCUAACCUGUGGAAAGGGAAGAAGAUCCAUGAGUUGUGAACCUGGAUAUCGAUGCCGGGGUGGUCCACCUGGUCGUAGGGGCCGUUGCAGUAAGCGCAGUGGAUGUUGGCCUGCUGAGUGAAGCCACGGGGAUCGUCGGGGUCCGUCACGUCCAGUUCCUUCAUCUUCUGGAUGGCCAACUCAUACUUGCGUACGUAUUCCGGUGUCAGCCUGUGCGCCGCCGGCCUAACGCGAGGUUUAGUGAACCUCGGAAGCUUGUAGUCGCUCUGAACGUCGGUGUAGGGCGGGCAGCAGUUGACGUCUAGAGAUAUUACCUCUUGGUUUCGAGUGGUGUAGGCACCUUCGGGGUCGCAGGUGCUCAGGUCAGGAGGCAAAAUCGGAAGCGCCUCAGCUUUGCGGAUGGCGCUGCCUGCGCCGUAUAGACCGCCCAGCCCAAGCAGCAUGUUUCUGCGGUCUAUACGGCCGCUGCCACCGCCACCGCUGCUGCAUGACACCUGAAAGCGGCCGUGGCUCCGCCGGCUGCUGAGCUGGGAGGGCUUGCGAAAUGGGGAGUUGGUGGCGGCGGCGAUCGCCGUGAAUGAAGAUUGAAGGGAAGCCAUGUUUGAGUGAUUGAUUGAUGGUCGUUGUGAUUACCUGGGGAGGCAUGUCUUUAUAUAGCAGAUGUGACACGAGUUUUAAGAAAAAUAAAUUAUCCGUUGAAUAAUUAAAUCGCCAUGUUUCUAUAAUUUAUUCCUAAUGGAUCUAGUCAAACUAAUCGUGCAAUAUUUAAUAAACCACGCAGCAUCAUUUCCGAGACUAAUAAAUGACAUUUUGAACCAGCUAAUCAAUUCCAUAUAAUUAACCAUUUGCGAGGCUGGCUGCCCUUCACUAAAUGGUUGUAUGCACUUGUCUUUGGAAAAGCUGUUUGGCCAUAUUAUGGCCAGUCAUAAUAUGGGAAAAUAUUAUAAAAGUCAUGUAUUUAAUUUUUUAUAUUUAAAAUAAAAAUAGGAUUUUAUUAGUUUUAUUUUUUAUUACAUAUUUUAGCUAUUUUUUUUUAUAAUUUUUCUGAAUUUUUUAGAAAAAUAAAAAAUAAAAUUACAAUGUGAACAAAAUUAUAAAACUAAUAAUGGUAGAGCAGCGGAGGGCACAGGUGAAGGGCAUGGCGGCGGUGUACUUAUUUUAGUCAAGUAAUUAUUAUUGCACGAAAAAAUAAUUAUUAAUAUAAAGAAAGAUAAUGUUUCAAAGACAUUAUCUUUCUUCAUGUCUAUUAAUUUUUCAUCACAAUAAUAAUUACUUCGAAUUAUCCGUGUUUUCAAUCGUGCGACCUGCACCCAGCCCGACCCGACCCGUUUCACCCAUAUAGUCAGUCUCACCCAAGUUUUUGCCUAAAGAUAAGUAUUAAUUAGUUGUGUAUGGUGAUAUGAGUCUUGUUUGUAUAAAUUAGUAGGCCUUUAAUAAUGAAUUGGCCCAUCUCAGGUGGUUUAUAUAAUUUACUCGUAUGGAUCUAAAUACAACUAAUCAUGAAAUAUUUAAUAUACCACGGAGCAUCUUUCUGAUAUACUAUUUAUAUAGUAAUUUAUUCCUAAUGGAUCUAAUCUCUGACUAUUUAAUAAUUAACUCGCCAUCGUUUAAAUAAUUUACUCCUUAUGGAUACACUCAAAGUAAUCGUGCAAUAUUUAAUAUACCACGCAGCAUCAUUUCUCAUACAAUAUUUUGGACCAUCUAACCAAUUACAUAUAAUUAAACCUUUUGCCAGGGUGGCUGUCCCUUCCACUAUAUGGUUGCAUGUAUUGAAUUGAAAUUUUAUUGAGGAAAAAAUGAAAAGAAAAACUAGGAAUUCAUUGAUAGCACGAAGACGCUAAUUAAGGGCUGAGCCUCAUCAAAACCUUUCCGAUAAAAAUCCAGUGAAAAAAACCACCAGCAAAGGAAAAAGAGUACCAGUCUAUUACAAUAAAAAAAUGAAGAACAAACUCAAGACAGGAACAACGAGAAGCACGAGAGGAUGAUAAAACAUCUAACCCGAAAAAAAAGACCCAAACCAAAGGAGCCUGACAAAUCCGGAGCCAGUACCAGCGCACCAGGAAACUGAAAAAGUUCUGGAGAAGCCACUUCGACCCAAGCACGCCAACCAUCCAAAAGAAACGACUACCACACCCACACCUAGGCCAAGAAAUAUAUAAUAUUGUGAAUAGUUCCCAUGGGAUCGAAACAGACCACCAAAACAAGAAAAAACCUCUAAGAGCAGACUACUCAUUGCCUGCCUGCCUAGUAUUCGAUGAAAUACCCAAACCAGAAAUCAUAGCAUAAAGCAAAAACCGCCACAGCUGGGGAGCGAAGAGCAGAAGGCCACCAAUAAGAUACAUUAGGAUUGCGCAAAGUCUGACAAAGAAAUCAGAAAACUUACCAGACCACUCUAGUUAAUGUAAUCUAUACAUGUCCGCACAUGAAAUUUGGUCAAGUUAGAUACACUAAUCUCAAAUCUAUUUAAUUAACAAAUUGAUUGAUUGAUAUUUUUUUCUGAGAGAAAUUGAUUGAAUAAUUUUUAGACUUCAAAAACUAAUAGUUAAUUGAUUGUUUAGAUAAGAUUAUUAUUACACUUUUAUAUAGAGAUAAUUAGUACUUGAGAUAUGUGCAAUUUACGCAUUCUUCUCUCGAGACAAAAUAAAUAUUAUUGACCAUUGAGAACUCUGCUACCACUACUCCAGUUCUAUUUAUUAUCAGUGUGCCCUCUCGCGCGCUGCACGGGUCACAACAUAUUUGAUUAUUUAAUUUUAGCUGUUUACGCAUACUUCGCUCGAGACAAAAAUAAAAUAAGAUUUAUUGAUCAUUGAGAACUCAGUACCACACCAUACUCGUGUAUACUAUAAUAUUUAUCAUUGUUUAUGAUUAUUACGUGUCUUCGCCGAUAAAUUUAAUAUUCAUUCCUUUAAUUUUUUUCUAUUGACAUUGGAAACUGUCUUGAUUCUUUUUUGGCCAUAUCAUAUAUUUAAAAAAUUGGGAGGGGAACGUGGAAGUUGAAUCUGAAAUAAGAAUCAAAUGAUACAUGUGUACUUUCAAAGAUAAAACGCAAAAUAUAUCAUUUUUUUGUAAAACAUAUAAAUUCUACUAUUUAUGAUUAUUUUAAAUUUAUAUAAUCUAUAUUUGUAUGUAUAUAUAUUCUCCAUUUGUUCAUGAAAAAGAGUCUCAUUGUAUGCUGAAUACGAGUUUUAAUAAAAUGGUUGUAAGUGUGAAAUAAAUGUAUAAUUUGUAAGAGUCUUUACAUUAGAUUAUAUUUUACUCUCUUCGUCCUAUUGAUAAUGACUCACUUUUCUUUUUCGUCUGUCUCAUUGAUAAUUGCAUGUUCCAAAAAAACUGAAACCAUUUGACCUCACAAAAUGUUGUGGGCUCCACUACUUUUUAUCACUUUUAUCCUUUAAUUACUAUUCUUAUUAAUAACCGUGUCGAACAGUAAUGAACUAUUAUCAAUGGGAGGGAGGGAGUAAUAUUUUAAUUUUGUUUGCUGCCACCACCACCACCACCACCACAAUUUAAAAAAAAAAAUCUACGUGAAUAUAGUAAUUAUUAGAACAAAAAAAUAACUAUAAUAAUAAUAUAUUAAUCCGUUAAUUAUCUAUACUAAUAUAAAAAGUGCAUUUGGCACAAAAUAUAUAUUGCCUGUUAUAUCCCUAUUAUAGUAUUUUAUUUGAAGGACAACUUUGUAAAUUAUAUAUUAUAUAUUUAUAAGAAUAUAUUAUUUCAUUAGAUAUUACACUAAAUAUAUUUGAUAUAUAUCUAGAUCUUAUGCUAUAAUUUUUUUUAUAUUAAUUAAUUAUUAUAUAUUGUGAUUUAAUAGAAUUAUACAACUCUAAUAAUUUAUAAAUGUAAAGUUCAGGGAUUGCAUGCAAUGCACACAUUCUAUGCUAGAAAAAAAAUAGAAUUCACUAAGCCGAUGAUAAAUAACACAUACAACGUACUAUUUCUGCUAGUAAAUUAAAAAUCUAUAUGAUUUUAUCUUCUAUCACUACAUUAAUUAAAAUCUAUCUUCCGUUUCAUAUUAACGGUGGUUUUUCAAUAUUUUUUAUAUUAAUUACUACAUAUUGUGAAUUUAUUACAAUUGUUAACCUCUAACAAUUCAUUAAUAUAAAGUUGAUGGAUUGUGUGUCAUGCACAAACUCUCCUGUACUCAUCUAAAAGACUCUAUAUGUGAGAAGAAACCGCAGGAGAGUAAAAUGGUACAUAACAUAGAAUAGAAAGACUUUCACAAAAUAAAUGUUACAUUCUUCCCGUAGUCGGAAGGAGCAUGAAAAUGCGCGGUUAUUCGCAAGAAAGAAAGGCUCACUCAGCCACACAAAACAUGGAAAUCCUAAACACGGUGAUGCAGAGAUCAAGCGGUAACACGCGGGAUGAUCUUAAUACCACCGAUGGUAACAUCGUCGCCAUUAAUGUGGGGAACGAUAGUGACGACAAUGAAAUCAUCAUCAGCAAUAUUAAUGUUCUCAUAGAGUUCCUUCAGGUUCAAGUGAAGGUCGUUGGAGCUUUCCGUGGCCCUAACCCUGUGCGGAAUCUGCGUGAAGCACCCGGCGUACUCGGCCCUAUCGAGCUUCUGUGGCGUGUCGUCUGCAUCAUUCACGAACACAUCGAACCUCACGAGCUUCAAGCUAUCGCAGAUUAUGUCCUCCAGCACCAGCACUUCGUCGGCUUUGCCUUUGGUUGGUUUGGGCACCACAACCCUAUGAGGCUUAUUGAGAGUGAGAGGGAACACAUUGUCUCCGGUCUCCGCCGUCUUGGCGAGAUCUUCGGUAUUGACCGGUUCCGGCCGCUGAGGUGGCCGGCAGGUCAUCCAUGGUGUAUGGCUAUAUUCAUACUCGUAUCCCAUUUUUGUGUGGUCCAAGCAGUCGGCGACCUUAACGCGCACCAGCUUCCUCUUCUCGUUGUAGAACAUGAAGGAGGCGUUGUUGAAGUCGUCGGGGUUGGGGACGACGAGCUCGUUGAUAUCCUUCGGGAAAACGGAUGGGAUCGUUUUCCAUAUAGUCCACAUUCUGUCGACGUUAGCGUGAUGUGCGUAGAAGAGAGGGUCUCUUCCGGCGGAGUAGAAGUUCCCCAUGUCUUCGCGGAAAUUGUUGGCGGGGUUUCCGGUCCAGACAGCCGCCCUCCGACAAUCCUCCCUUGGAGCGUGGCGGGGGCAAGUCUCCGUCAACGUAAGGCUCGCCCAUGAAGUUGGUAGCGGAUUCGACAUCACCAACCAUUUCCUUGUACAGCUGAUUGAGGUUGUUGGAGAUGAUCUGUACGGGAUCGGUGAUCGGGGGGUUGGUUAGGGCAAGAGAAACGAUGGCCGGGGGCCGAUGCGUCGGGUCGCGGUUGACGUCGUAGAGUGGCGACGCGUCCCUGUCGAACAUCGAGGGCAUCUGCAUGCCCCUAGGGUUGUCCCAGUUCCAGUAGGGCAGGGCGAAAUCGAGAUCUCCGAUGAAUUCGCCCAUGAUUCUCUCGAAGAAAUAGAGGUACCACCUGUGUAGGGAUGAAUCCAGAAUUUGUCGUUAGGGGGGCUAAAUCUAAAAGUAUUUGCAGUGGGGGCUCCCGUCCGCAAGACAAUUUUUUUUAACCAUUCCGUAUAGAUUUAAUUGGCUUAACAUUAGAAAUCAGUCACUUACUAUAAAAAAUAGUUGUUCGCAUUCCAUUAAUUCAACAACAAGUACAUUUAAAGCAUAUACAAACCUACCUCUGUGCAAUUUUUUAAAAUAUUAUUUCGACUUCUAAAAGAAUAAACUAAUUUUCAUUGUUAAUUAAUAGUUCAAAAUUUUAGUUUAUCUUGAAGAUUAACUCAAAUUAAAUAUUCAAUAUUACCUAAUUAAACAAAAAUGAGACAAAAAUAACACAAAUUUUUAACAAACUAACCUAGCAAAUCACUGUAAAAUGUUAAGCAAUUCUUUCUUGUAUUUCUUCUAUAUAUUAAAAACAAAAAAAUUAGGGAGGGGGCUUCAGCCCCCGUGGAUCCGCCACUAACCUGUGGAAGGGGAAGAAGAUCCAUGAGUUGUGAACCUGGAUAUCGAUGCCGGGGUGGUCCACCUGGUCGUAGGGGCCGUUGCAGUAAGCGCAGUGGACGUUGGCCUGCUGAGUGAAGCCGCGGGGAUCGUUGGGGUCCGUCACGUCCAGAUCCUUCAUCAUCUGGAUGGCUUUCUCGUACUUGGCUAUGUAUUCCGGUGUCAGCCUGUGCGCCGCCGGCCUCCUGCGAAGCUUUGUGAACGUCGGAAGCGUGUACUCUUCCUCGUCGUCCGUGUAGGGCGGGCAGCAGUUGGCGUCUAGAGAUAUUAUCUCCCCGUUUCUAGAAGUAUAGGCACCUUUGGGAUCACACUUGCUCAGGUCAGGAGGUGAAAUCGGAACCGCCUCAGCUUUGCGGAUGAGGCCGCUUGCGCCGUAUAGACCACCCAGACCAAGCAGCAUGUUUCUGCGGUCUACACGGCCGCCGCCGCCUCCAUCACUGCUGCACGACACCUCAAAGCGGCGCCUCCGCCUGCUGGCGAGCUGGGAGGUGGUGCGGAGGUUGGGGUUGGUCGUGGUCGCCAUCACCAUGAAUGAAGAUUGAAGGGAAGCCAUGCUUGAUUGAUUGAUGCUUGCAUUGCGCUCGAGGCAUGCAUGUCUAUAUAUAGUAGGCGUGGACACGAGUUUUAAGAAAAAUAAUGAUACUUAAUGGGAUUAUUUUCGAAAAUGAAUUAGGAAGAUGUUUUGGAGACGAAAAUAGAAAAUUGACCUUUUGCCAGGCUGCCCUUUCACUAAAUGGUUGUAUGCACUUAUCUUUUUUUUAUCUAUAAAGAGGUAUUUUCUCCAUUUAAAAAACUUAUCGAGGUAAUUAUGAAGACUAUUCAUUUUUAUCGUUGUAAAGUUAAUUAAAUUAUAAAAAUUAAAGUUGAUAAAGUUCUUAUUAAACAUCAUCGCUCUUCUGUCUUUGGACGACAAAAUUAAUUAUUUCAAAUAGAUAAAGAACUUGAUUUUCCGAUAUGGCUUCUCAUACUAAUUAAAUAAUCUAAUCCUAUAAUGUAUUUCAUAUAAAGUUAUCAAAUUAACAAUAUUCUGUGUGAAUUUUUUUGCCUUGAGUGUGUGUAUAGAGGUAGUCAGGGCCGGCCCUGAGGGUGGGCGGGCAUGGGCGACGGCCCAGGGCCCCAAAAAUUUGAGGGCCCAAAAUUUUUAAUAUAUCCUAUUAAUUAUAGAUCUUAUGUAUACUAACAACAUAGUUCAUCUAUUGAUUUUGGGCCCAACAUAAUUUAUUCUCAAAUUUAGAUCUAUACUUAAUAUAGAGAGUUUUCAAUUUGAAAUCAAUUUCAAAGUAAUUUCAAAAUUGAGUGACUAUUUUGUAGUUAUAAUAUUAAUAAAAUUGAAGGUUUAUGUUUAAACUAUAUAUUUUUAUUUUUAUUUUUAUUUUCAUUUUCAUUUUCUUUAACUUCUUAUUUGUUGUUACAUUUCUUUCCAAAAUUGUGAAAUUCAAUUAAUUAUAAAAUAUUUAAUAUGCAUAUCAAAUUAAAGAUCACAAUAAGAGUUUUAAUAUGAUAUAUUUUAUGAAAAAUAUUUGAUUUAAAAUGUAAAAUUUAUGCAUGUUCAAAUAUUAAAGUUUUAUAAAUUUCUCUCACCUCUCUCAUCUUUACGAAUAAAUAUAUUUUUAAUUCUUUUAAAUUAGUAUUUUAUUUUUAAUUUUUUUAACUUAUUUUUUUGUUUUUGUAUUUCAUAAUAUCAAAUUUUAUAAUUGUGAAUUCUUUUUUUAUUUUUUUUAAUAUUCAAUUCAAAUAUAUAUAAUUAAAAUUAAUUUUUUAUUAUAUUUAUAAGUAUAAUAAUUAAAUUAGUAUUAAUUUUAUAUAAAUAGUAAAAACAAAAAAUAUUUCCCGUGCAUGAGAUGCAAAUGGUAGUUGCACCUCGCCGCCGGUAAUAUAUUUAAGUAUAUAAAUUAAUUAAUAUUAACAAGGCGCCCGGUGAUCACCGGAGGCAUCCUUGCCGCUGGUAUUUCUGCCGCUACUUUGAAAAAUACGGCCGUCGGUAAAUCUGGCCGCAAAUUGUGUACGUUUUUUGGUAGUGGUAAUAUAUUAGGGCCCAAUUUUUUAAUUUCGCCCAGGGCCUCAGUUUUGUCAGGACCGGCCCUGGAGGUAGUUAUAGAAUUUAUCUUUUGUGUUCUCAAAGGAACUUAAUUAAGAUCCAAUGUGAUUGAUACAUUUCGACUAAAUGGAUGGGCAAGAUUCUUUUAACGCCCAAUAUUAAUUCCAUCUCAAAUCGGAUCUUAUAUAAUACUGUAUUUUAUAUAUUCUAUAAUGCAUUUUAUAUAUUACGUGUCUAUUAAAUUAACAUUGAUCUUAGGAGUGAUACAAGUUUAAAAAAAAGCUAGCUGUAUAUUUGGUGAGUAGAGAAGGGAUUUCAGAAAUUAGAAAAAAUGGUGAUAGGUAGUGGAAUUAUUUUAAAAAAUGGACUAAAAAGAUGUUUCAUGAACGAACGAAAAUGGCAAAAUAGGAAGAUGAGUCGUGGUCGGAGGAAAUAUUAUAAUGCAUCGUAUCCUUUUUUGGUUCGUAUAAAGAUUUUUAUUUGAUCCUCAUCGAGAACAUGCAUAUUGCGAAUACUUAAUUUAUUUCAAUAUAUAUAUAUUAAUUUAUUGGGAGCAUAUGCUAAAUAAAUUAAAUUAAUCCGAAUCAAAAGCGCUUAAUUAUCACUACAUUACAUGCAUUAUGACAAAAAGCCUGCGGCUAAAGAUCUUCAGUUUAAGUCUAUUGUCAUAUUGUUUUUAAAAUAUUAUUUAUCCAUUCCGCAUAUGGAUUGGUCAGAUUUAGAUACACAAAUCUCAAAUGUAUUUAAUUAACAAAUUGAUUGAUAAAUUUUAGAAUUCAAAAAUUAAAUCAAUCAAAUACGCGUGUCCACAGUCAAUGGAUUGAAAAUAUGCAGGUAUCUAGAUAAGAUAUAUUAUUAUUAUUAUUACACUGUUAACUAUACUGCAGUACACUUUUAUAUAUACAGACAUAAUUAAAAUAUGCAGGUAUCUAGAUAAUAAGAUUAUUAUUACACUAUUAACUAUACUGCAGUACACUUUUAUAUAGAGAUAAUUACUAGAGAUAUGUGCUAUUACCCAUACUUCGCUCGAGACAGAAAUAAAUACGAUUGACCAUUCAAUUAAACACUACGACACCAUACUCGUGCAUGUACUAACGAUCUUAUUAUAAGUGCACCUUCCCGUGCGAUGCACAGGUCAGUAGAAUUGUAAUCGAUAUUGAUGUGAAUAUCAUCAUAUUCGAUUCGUAUUUGUGAAAAUACUCUAAUAUUUGAUUCAGCAUUCGAUUCGAUCACGAAUACUAAAUACGAUCCCAUAUUCGAUUCGAUGUUAUUUUUGAAUUAUUUGAUACAUUUUUUAAAAUUAAUUAAAUAAUUUUUUUACGAAUAUUCGAUUCGUUUUCCAUCAUAUUCAAUUCAAAACUAUUCGAUUUGAAAUUCUGAAGGAAAAAAUAUGUUAAAUAAUAUUCUAAAAAAUAUAGGAUUAUAUCCAAUAUAUUUACCUAAUAAUUAAACACACAAUAAUAAAGUGUUCAAUUCAUAUUGUUUUAUGUCCCGUGGUUUGUUUCUAGGAUUGUGGUAAUAAAGACUGAUUGGAUCAGUCUAGUACAGUUGUUGUUUGAAUUUGUAAUUUUGUGUAACGGCAUUGUCAUCUUGUUGAGAUUAAUAGGAGUUAAUUUGUUUAAUUAAUUAUUCAUGAGUUUCUUAUAAGAUACCUUCCUUCGUUCCGUAAAAAUAGUCAUAAUUUUUCAUUUUAGAACGUCCAUAAAAAAAUAGUGUUAUUCCAUUUAUAAACAAUUUAGAUCCUUACCUUUGGGAUGAGAUAAAAUGAAAUUCCAUUUUAAAUCAUAAACUAGCUAUAUAGGAAGCAUUUUCAGCUCUUGAAUUCAUCUGUUGUUCGAAUUUCAUAGGAAGCAAGUUUUUUUGACUCAUUAUUUUCACAGCGAAUUCAUCAUGUUACACAUACCCUAAAGUGAUAUAUUUACCCUAUUUGAUAACAUGAUAAGUAUAUUUGAAGCGCUCACUAUUUUAUUUGAACUUUAUUAUCGAGUUUAAACGAGUUUUGAAAUAUUGAAUUAAAUUGAAAUAUCCAUGUUGAUCGUUUAAGAAGCAAAUUUUUGGCAUGGGUUUAUAAAAAAUACAUCCUAGCCUCCAUCCCUAAUAAGUGCGGUGUGAAGGAGUGGGCAAUAGUUCUUUAAAAAUAAUUGAGAGAUGUGUAUAAAGUGGAUAAAAUGGCUUACUAGAGCUGAUUUGUUAGGCCUUACUUUCUCUCUGCCCCACUAAAAUAAGCUCAAUUCUUUUGAGAACAUAGAUUAAUAAACUUUCUUUUGAGAAGAAAAUUAAAGUGGUGGCAAAAGUAAUGUGGUCCAUACCAAUUAAGCAAUUUGAGUACAUUUUUUUUUUCACUCAAAAGGAAAACGAGCCUAUUCUAGCGGGACAUUCCAAAAUAGAAAACGAGCAUAUUCUGCUGGGACGAGGGAAUAAUAAAUUGUUUGUGAGAUGAGUAGUUUGUAAAUAUUGUGUGUGAAAGGUGUAUGUCUUAAAUUGAAAAGACCAUACCUGUAUUGUGAUUGUACGGAAAGGUGGAACUGAGCAUCGCGGCGGCGGCGAGGCAGGAGGCGGCGGUGGUGAGGAGAAUCGAGAGAGAGAGAGAAAGAUGCCAGCAGACAGUGACGGAGGGCAGUGGGCGGCCCUUGGCGGCAGCGGAGACGACAAGGUACUGGCUGUGCCAGAAUUAUUUAGUUGCAUAGGAUCCUUCCAAAUGUAAUUACUGAUUCACUGUUGGAUUAACAAGAAUUAAAUUACUUCAUAAUACAGUAUUCCAACUGUUCGAUAAAAGCCCUUAAUGAAAUCUUCCAUAGAUUACUUUGCAAAGUUCAUAAAAUUACUCAAAAGCAUUGUUGCAUAGUCCGUACAUAGAGAUGGUCGAUUAUCUUAAUUAUGUCUAGAUUUAUUUACGACACACACACACACACAUCACAAAAUCACACAUACUGACUAAUAAGGUUCCCGAAAGCCGGCAUUAUUAGGCGCCAUGGUGGCCGUGAAAUACCAUGAGACGAUAUCAUGGGUGGUGGGUCCGUCUAGUCUGGUGGCGGCGGAGAGCCCUACCUGAACCUGCUAAGGAAGAAAGCCGCUCAAAUCAUACUCAUAGCUGACUUCAAACGUCUUCGAGCCGGCGGUGGCACGGACGGCGAUCUACUUUGUGGAGGCGGCGUAGUUGAUCCUCGCCGUCACCUGCUGCUCGAGUAUGGAGCCGUCGACCUCCGUCGUGUUUCGGGAUGACCUAGACCCGAUGUCGAUGCCGAUGUGGGGAUAGUUCGGAUCCCACGCGCUGUUGACGUAGGUGUCGAACUCGACGGCAAAUACCGAGGGGUUGCUGCCGGAGGAGCCGAAGAUUCCGAGGUUGGCCCCGCUGGAGCCGGUGGGGAUGGUGGAGCGGCGAGAUUGGUGAUGCUGGGUGUGGUGAUGAAGUUUACGGUGGUUUCAAAGUCGACUUGGCCACCGGCUUGGGAGAAUUGGACCGGGUUCGUGUACAAGACCCGGCCGACACUACCGAUCUGCGGUCGCCUUGGUAGGUGAGGUCGGUCGGCUGGUUGUCCCAGAAGUUAUAGGCGAAGGCCGUUGAUCGGGACUUCGCCCUGUUGGUGGCGACGGCGAGAAGAAGGGCGAUGGAGAUUAGGGUUUGGAGAAGGUUGGCCAUGGCUUAGUUGUGCAGUGAAUGAUGUCUACUACUUGCUCCUAUUUAUAAUGAUCGAAAAUAUCUACUACUUACCUACCACAGAUCCACAUCAGGGGCCCUGGAUGGGGUGGUCGACUACAUAAGCCCAAAAAAAUAAGGGCUCGGAAAAUAUAUAGAUCCAUGUAAGUAUUAUAUAUAUGUAUAAAAUAAUUAAAAGCCAACUAAUGAUUGAAUUGAUUAACUUGGCGCAGUGGAAAAAGGACAUUUUUAAUUCCUCUUAAUUACCAAUAUUUUAUUUAGUGACCAAUUUUUUUGUUUAGAUAUAGGGCCCAGCCCCUAUUUUGAUAAAUUAAGUGUAUGUAUUUCAAAUUAACAUUAUUUUAAGUUGUCGAAUUUUUUUGUUAAGAUUUAGGGUCCAGCCCCUAUUUUGUUAAAUUAACUUUAUUUUAAGUGAAUGACAUAAUUAUUAAUAUAUUUAUUAAUUAUUAUGUAAUUUGAUAAAAAAAUGUUUUAAAUAAUUUUAGUUUAUAAUUAAUUUAUUUCUCAAUUAUAAAUAAAUGGCCUAAAUUAAAAAAUUCGCAAAGGGCCUAUGUUCUCUUAGCCCUACCCUUGCACUGUUGCACAUGGUAUAUAUAUCUAUUCUAUGAAUAUAAGUGAUUAUUUUAUAAACCACGUGAAAGCACUUGUUCCCACUAGCACUAUAAAAGCAAUAAAUACAACGGAAAGAAAAUAAAUUACAAUUGAAUACAUUAGGAGAAAAAUUACUUCUAACCUAUGGAAUUACUAACAACGAUACUUAUACCAAAGCUAAAUUGGACCAACUAACUGUACACUCUUGUAUUAUAUCAACCUACCAGACCUUAGUAUUCACGAGUCUCCCACAGUCUAGACUGAUUCACAAUAUAUACCAACAUUGGAACAAGUUCAGUAAUACACUCUAUUUAUAUAUAUUAUUAUAUACACAAAAAUGCAUGGCUGCUGUGGUAUUACGGAAGGAUCGAGAAUUACUCGAUCCUUGGGAAAAGGUUCAAAUGAAACCUUUAUUAUUACUCUCCGUCCCCCAAAUAAUAUCAUAUCCGAUUUGGGAUAUUACCCCACCACUAAUAAUACUUUAUUUAUUCUAACUUCUCAAUCUUUCACCAUUCUCAAUACUAAUUAUAACACAUUUUCAUCACUUUCAAUACUAAUUAUAAUUUCUUUUCUCCACUGCUAAUACGUACACUUAACAAUUUUUCCUUAAAACCAGUGUCGUCCCCUACUAAGAAGUUAUUUGGGGGACGUAGGGAGUAUUUUUUAAUGAUAUGGCAUCCAAAUAUGUUGUGACAAUCCAGUGAGCAAUAUCAACUUUUUGGAGCUGAAAACCGAUGUGAGGUACAACUAAUACACAAUAUGUUGUGGCAAUCCAGUAAUAUACCCUAAGGAUGCGUCAUCUUUUGUUGUAAAUUUAUCAUGGAAAAAUGAGGGAUAAACAAAAUUUCACCCAUUAAAUCCUUCAUUUUUUCCCUCAUUUCUUACAAAAUAGAAUUUGACCCUUACUCAUUUCUCAUUUUCACUGCAAAGGGGGGCUAAUAUUAUCUCUCUAUUUUUGGUAUAAUGAAGAAUUUGAUACGUAAUUACAAUUAAUUAUAAUGAAGUGUGUAUUUUAGUUGCUCAUAUUCUUGGAUUAUUUAUGCUUUAAUGAAACGAUCCACUGCCUUUAACAUUUUGGCAUUUUAAAGUAAACGCCGAAAUGCAACGAUCCACUGCCUUUUAAGUAAACACCCUUGCUAACCCCUGCAUGCGUUUUUUCAUCAAACACUUGGGUUCAUUCUUUUAGGCAUUUUAUCAAACAGUUGUGCUCAGCCUCAUCCUUUUGAUCACAUUCCCAUAUCUCUCCUUAUAUGAAACCGCAUUUUCUAUUUCUCAUAUAUUUCCUAUAUAAUAUUUCCAUCAUUUCUAGCUCAACAAUAAUUCUUCUAGCAAAAUUAUCAUUUCAAAUGCACUCUUUUCCUUUUCUACUUUCUCUUCUGCAUAACAGAAAUACUAAUCCACCAUAAAAUAAUCAUAACUUUUUCUUAAUGAUACGAUGAGGGCACAAAGUUGAGAUGAUAAAAUCAUACAUAUUGGCGAAUGUUGCCGCCGGCUUCCUCUGACUUUUGGAUGCUGAGGGGAGGGGUGGCGGUGAAAUACCAGGAGUUGAUGAUGAAUUUGAUGGUUGUUUCCAUGUCCACCUGCCGCAGAGACCGAGAUACGAUUUUAGAAACAAACGGCAAAAUUACAAUUUCACAUAUAAAAAAUAAAAGACAAUUAAUAAAGCGCAUAAUAUUGGUAAGAUGCUUCCAACCAAUAGGUCGGGAUUGUAUAUCGUGUGAGUGUGUUUUUCAUUUUUUAGUAAUAACAUGUCGUGCUCGGGGCUUUUUUCCGUAUCUGCCCCUGCUUCCCGUCGUCGUGCCCGACUCGUCGGUUUUUGUCAUGCGGAGGUAGGUGGUGGCGUCGGUGAAGUUGGCGUCGCCUUCCAAGCGUAGGCCUUCCGAAUGUGGCGGCUUUUGGUAGAAGUCGUAGGUGAAGGAGACUGCAUCGCCGACCGACACGGUGGCGAGGAGGAGGGCGAUGGAGGAGAGGAGAGGAAUUAAGGUUUGGAGAAGGUUGGCCAAUUUGAUUAAAUGUAUUUGGAUGUAGUGGAUGAUGGUGUAUCGAUCUCUUGCUCCUAUUUAUAGUUGUAAAUAUAUAUUAAUAAUGGUAUCAUUCAAUCAUUAUACUUUAGGCCGGCCGGGCCGGAUCCUCUAUUCCAAAUUCUAUGUCUCAUUGUUCAUAUUCACUAUUAAUUUCACUAUUUCAAUAAUUAAAAAAAUUCAUAGAGUUUGGGGCAGAGGAUCCCGUUUGAAUCCCACAUGGAUCCUCUGUCCCAUAACUUAUUGUGUUCCUUCCCAUUAUUAAUCUCGAUAUUAUAUUUCUACUUUGGAGUUAAUUCAUUAUAAACCCAUGAAAGAUCAGACGAAAUUCAUCCAAUAAACAUUUAUAAAUUUAUAUUUAAAUUUUGUUUCGCGGGUAUCUGAUAGAUAAUAGGUAUUCGUGGGUGGCGAAUUUGGGUAGCAUUUGAUAUUCAUAGAUAGUUUCAUGAUUAAAAUCCAAUAUUCAUUUAGUUCACGGGUAUGGUAUGACAGCCACUAUCUGUGUACGUCAUACCUGAUUGCCAGUAUGACAAAUAUAAAAGUUGUGAGAUGCACAGCAGCUUAAUUAUUCAAAUAGAAAUAUCAUCACAUGUGCAUUGAUAUUUCACAAAAUAAAUACUACUACUAAUAAAUACUCCCUCCGUCCACCAAAGAUAUGCCACUUUACUUUCGGUACGAGUUUUAAUAAAAUGUGAGUGAAGUUGGUAGUGGAGUAAGGGUCCCACUUUAAAUGUGAGUGGAAUGGUAUGGACCUUACUACUAAAAAUGGAUGUGGCAUAUUUUUCGUGGACGAACGAGAAAGAAAAUUGUGGCAUAUCUUUGGUGGACGGAGGGAGUAGUACUCAUUGAUAAUGCAUGCCAACACAUGGUUCUUGCAAGUCAUAUAUAUACCUCAUCAGCAAUAUAGUAAAAUGAUGAUUUGACAACCAGAUUAAGACACCAAUUAUUCUUGUCGGGACACAGACAUAUAUGCAUAUAGAAUUAAUAUUAUUUACUAUUUCGUUUAUACACGUGAAUUAUGCUUUGGAUGCAACAUCGCCACGUCUCUUUCAUUUAUACUUCUCUAGUGUAUUGCGGACAAAAUAGUUAGUGUCUUUAAGAAAUUAAAAAUUUUCAAAUACAUAAGAAAGAAUAAUUAAUCUAAUUGGUGCGCCGGCAACUAAAACUUUUUUCAAUUCACUUUAUAUUUUAUAUACUCCCUCCGUCCACGAUUUAAUGCCCCAUUUUAGUGUGGGCACGGAGACUAAGAAAACUGAAAAAGGUGAUGUGAAUGAAAUAUAAGGGUAGUUGACUAAAGUGAUAAAGAUGCUGUGAGUGGGUUCACUAGUGAUAAAGUAUAGGAAAUAUAGAAUAUAAAAAUGAUAAAGGUGUUUUAAGUUGGGUCCAUUAGUGGCAAAGAGUAAUAAAUAUAGAAAAAGAAGAGUAAAAAAGUACAAAAAGCAUAAUAGGGCUUUAAUUUGUGGACAAAAAAUUAAGAGCAAGUAGGGCUUUAAAUUGUGGACGGAGGGAGUAUUUAACAUUACAAGUCAAUUGCUUGCAGAAUUUGAGCUUGUCUCCCGUGAUGGAGACCUCACCAUGCGGCAACCCGUGCCUGCGCCUGCCUUUUUUCUUCCCGUCUUGCUCUAUCCAGAUAUUAUACGUGAUCCAACUCUUUCCAGAUAUUAUACGUAAAUGAUAAUUUUACUAACAAAAAUUACACUUUUUAUCAAUAACAAAUGAAACUAUGCAUACAAAACAGGAGGUAAAUGAUAUUUUUCUUAAUAACAACUGAUACUUUUUCAAUGCAAAUAAUACUUCGCAAAUGAUAUUUUAAUAUAAAAGUAAAUGAUACUUUGUAUAAAAAUAAAUGUUAUAUUACAAAUGACACUUUUAAUGCAUACCAAUGACACUUUUAAUAACAAAAAUUGAGAAAAAAAAAUUAGAAUUCGGCCUUAAUUAAAAUUUGGACAACAUUUAUUUGGGCAAAGAAGAAAAACACCUGAAUUUUUUUUUUUCCUUUUUUGAGAGAGAAAAACUCAUGAAAUUUCAUGCAAAAGGUAAUGCAUAGCCAACCGGGCUCAAUCAUCUUUCGGCGGUUUUGGUUUGAUUCUUCCAACAUCUAGGGUAGCAUUCACACAAAAUCAACUCGUGUUCAAAAAUCUGAAAUUAAAAUUAACGAUGUGUCUCAGUAUAGAGAUAAGAACAUACCCCUCAAAUGGUUCGAGCCAAGGUCUAAUUCCUUCAGCAGUGUGAUAUUCCAAAUUUGAGUAGGCAUAUAUCCGCCAAAGUUGUUGUCUGACAAGCGAAUACUCUCAAGUUGUGGACAUUGGUACAAACUCGAUGGUAUAUCUCCUUCCAAAUUGUUAAAGGAUAGGUUCACUAGUUUAAGUCUUUGAAGGUUAUUGUACGUGCNUAGACAACAAGAAAUAUCUAUUGUCUAUUCUAUGACAAAAAAAUUAAAAAAUUCUAAUAUAUCUGCAUCCCUGUAUUACAAUACCAAUAUAUAUGAAAAAAUAAAAAUAAUUAAAAAUCAAAUAAUCAAACAAUACUUAUAAACCACUAAUACUCACAAUCAAAUAUUUACACAUCAGUGUAAAUAUUGGGUUCGAGUCCUCUGCGUGUGUUGAUCAAGCGGUAAGGGGUUAAUGCCUAAGGUCAAAGGUCUGGGAUUCGAGUCCCCUGUGGUGUAGCCUUUUAAUUUCGUUAUUUAAUAUUGUAAAUUUAUAAAAAAAAAAAAGUAUAUUUACACAUCAACAAUUGUAUUAUCUUUAAUACGCCUUCAUUCAUCUAAUAAAAAAAAUCUCUAAUAAAAUCUCCAACUAACUCCGGUCAUGAUCAUCUCUUGAAGGCGGAGGAAGGUGGAGUCCGUCGGGAAAUGGGUACUGCCUUGAUAGAUGAGAUCUUUCGGCUGGUCGCCCCAGAAGUCGUAGGUGAAGGACGUCGUUUGGGACAACGCCGUGUUGGAAACGGAGAGGAGGAGGACGAUGGAGGAGAGGAGAGGAGUUAAGGUUUGAAGAAGCUGGUUGGCCAUGGCUUAAUUGAUUUAGAUUUAGAGAUGUGGUGGAUGAUGGUGGUAUCGAUCUCUUGCACCUAUUUAUACUAGUAUGGUUCAUGCCUGUUAAUAAUUGUAUAUAUCAAUCAUCGUGCAUCUAUCCCAAAUUAUAUGUCUUAUUAUUCACUAAUUAGAUGGAUUAAAUCCUGAUUAGUAACCAUAAAAUUAAACUGUCAAUGAGGCCUUGCUCUAGUGGCAAAGCUGUGACACCGAAUAACUUUUCUUUGUGAAAUGUCUUGGGUUCAAUCUCGCCUGCAUGCGGUGAUGUGUGUCCAUUUUAGGUGGUGUGGUAUUCUUGUCUGCGUGCGGUGUUGUAUUGUUUAGUGUUGAGGUCCCACAUGCAGAGCGUUCUUGCCUGUGUACGUGUCACAGCCCAAAACCAUUUAUUUUCUUUACAAAUUUUAUAUAUGAAAAUUAUUUAAUUUUUAAGUUAUAGAGUUUUUGAAAUAUAUAUAGUAUCAAUUUUAUGUUAACUUAGUCGUGUCCCUAAUUAAAAGAAUGACUUUAAAAUAAAACUUAAGCCUUAAAAAUUUAAUCUACAUUCAUAUAUAACUGAAAUUACAUGCAUGUCUAAAUAUUAUUUAUAAUUAUCAAUAACAAGAUUAAUGAUUCUAUAUCUCUAUGUUUAUACAUGUAUUCACGUAUGACAUAGUAUAUAUUAGCUAUUAAGUUAAAAACUAAUAAAAUACUACACUUUUGCAUAGGAUAUAUAUUUAAUUAGUAGUAGGAUAGGACACGUGUAUUAAUUUUAAGGGCAAGUAAUCAAACUUUUGAAUGAUUCAUCAUGCUUAAAAAAAAAAGAGACCUAGAUAGAUGAUUCAUCAGAUUCAAAAACAAGUAUAAAUAGACUUCGGGUUUGAAAUUUUAAUUAAUUUGCAACAACAAUUCAAACUGACUGUAUUAAGGUAAGUAGUUACAGAUUUCAUACACAUAUUAUAUGAUUUCGCACACAUAUUAAGGUAAGUAUAUAUAAAUAUUUUUUAAAAUCAUAUAUUAUAUAAUAAUUAUAUUUAAGUUUUAUAUUAUUCUUUAUAAACUAUUGUUUCAUUCUAUAUAAUUAGGUGUGGCACGACUAGGACGUAACUUUCUAUUGAAUUUCUCAAGUUAAUCUUAGAGUUCAAGUUUCAGGUGUGAGAUUUAUUUAAAUACAUGUCGUACGUGGUUAUUUAUUGUCCAUUUUAAUAAGAUGUGUUUACCAUAUGUGUUAUGACGCAUAUUUUUAGGAUAUCACUAGGUGCCCAUAAAUAGGAUCCAGGACUUCACCGUCCUUGGAUUGCCACAAUGCGAUUUGAGGUUUAUUUUGAGGAUGUCGUUAGGGGCCCGUACAUAGGGUCCAGGACUUUAAUAGUCAUUGGGUUGCCAUAGUGCAAAUAUUGAGGAUAUAUAUGAAGUGACCGUAUGUGUUACCGUUUCAUUAACGUGGACAAUGAUUGCAUGUUUAAGAGACAAUAACCAAUUUUUCAGACAUUUGUGAACAAAAUGAAGCAUGUUUAGAGAUCCUUAAUACAGGUGUACGAAAUGAUGGAUAAAUAAGUUUGUGAAACAAAUUUCACCAUACCUAACCCCACAAUUAUUUGCGGUCGAAUUUCCUCGUCACAGGAAAAAGAGAUGAUGACAAAAGGGAAAAAAUUAAUUAACAAAGUAGAAGAUGCAUGACAACUGUAAAAGAAAAAUAAUGCUACUAAUUAAAUAGUCCAAACUUCAUACGUUUCAUAUCAUAAGUGGCAGUUCUAUUUUUUUUUUUGCGAAUGUGAACAAAAUAACGAAUAAUUUUUAAAGUAAUAGUAAUAAGGAGAUGUGUUUUGACAGAAAACGACAUGAGCGGCCUAAAAAUAAGAGGGAAAAAGAUAAUCAUAUAAAUAUUCAAAAUCAAACGGAUUGGCAUGUAUUCAUCAUUUUUUAUUUUUUAUUUUGAUAAUUUAACAGUACUCCCUCCGUCCGUCAAAAGUAGACCACUUUGGUUGGGCACGGGAUUUAAUAAAAUUAGUGAUGAUUUUGAUGUAGUAGAGAAAGAGUUCCACCACUUUAUGAGAUGUGUGGUUGAGAUUGAAUUUGUUGUGAUUUUUUUGUAAAUAAAGAGUGUUUGUAAGGAUAAAAGAUUAAAGUGGGUGGUGGGACCAUUUCCAUAAAAGGAAAGUGGUCUACUAUUUGCGGACGCCCAAUAUAGUAAAAGUAGUCUACUUUUGGCGGACGGGGAGAGUAUUAAAUAAAUAAAUUUAAAGGUUGCACCCCUUACUGCUUGGCUUUUAGAUUAUGUUAUAAUAAUAAAAUUAACAGCACGUUUACAAUAUAAAAUUAAUUAUGAUAAAUACAAUAUAUUAAUAAUAAAUACUCAAUUACCUCUUAACAUAAUUCGCGCAUCAUGGCUUUUAGCUUAUAUUAUAAAGAUAUAAUAUGUUGUCUAUAAUAAUCGACGGAAGGUAAUAGACAACAUGUUUUAUAUGUUGUCUAUAAUAAUAUAGACAGUAGAUCUAGUGUUAUAGAUAACAAUUAAUACUUGUUGUCUAUAUGAUGAUAGACACCAAAAAUCUCUGUUGUCUAUUCUAUGACAAAAAAAUUUAAAAAAAUUCUAAUAUAUUUACAUCCCUGUAUUACAAUACCAAUAUAUAUGAAAAAAUAAAAAUAAUUAAAAAUCAAAUAAUCAAACAAUACUUAUAAACCACUAAUACUCACAAUCAAAUAUUUACACAUCAACAACUGUAUUAUCUUUAAUUACGCCUUCAUUUAUCUAUUAAAAAAAAUCUCUAAUAAAAUCUCUAACUAACUCCGGUCAUCAUCUCUUGAAGGCUUAGAAAAUGUCCAAAUACAGCGGCACAUGCUCAUUAUUGUGUGAGCGAUGAGAACUUUGCGCUGAACCUAUAAAGUAACUAUACUUAACUGGUAAAGUAAUUGUAUCCCGUGAAUCUAAAGGAAGACUACACACGUUGAUAGAGUUUGAAAGAAAAGAAUAAAGAGAAUGAAAAUCCAAAGAAUUUGCUUCUUCCGUUGAACAAUCCCUACACAACAUUGAAAUAUCAAUGAAAAUAAUGGCUAUCGUAUACUCCCUCCAUCCAUGAAAGAACUUCAUAGGAGGGAGUGACACGGGUUUUAAGAAAAAAUAUUGUUAAGUGUAUUGAGAGUGGAUAAAAGGUAGUUGAGUGUAUUGGGAGUGGUGAAAAUGUGUUAUAGUUAAUAUUGAGAGUUGUGAAAAGUGAAAAGUAAGAGGAUUAUAAGUGGUGGGGUAUAGUCCAAAAAUAGGUAGGAAGUUCUUUUGUGGACGUCCCAAAAAGGAAAGAUAUGAAGUUCUUUCGUGGACGGAGGGAGUAUUAUUUUGCAGCAGCAACCACGUUUGAAAACUCGAUCCCUCUGUUCUUGAAUUUGUGAAAUUUCCGACUGAUUUAUUAGAUUCACCAUUUAUUUCAGUUUAAUUAGUCUAUAUAUAGAUAUUUCUUAUAUUAUUAAAUUGUUAACCUCAUGGUAGAUUUCAAGAUUUGAAAAUUCAACAAAGAGCUUGAGAAUUAUUGAGAUUGGAAGGGGAAGAUGAAACAUAAUUGGGUGAAAUUAGAAACCAAUUAAAGUCACAAGAUUGAACAAAAACAUAACUUAAAAACACAAAAUAAGCAAAUCGUAGAUGCAGUAUCUUGCAAGAAAAAGUUCAUAUUCCCAAGGCUAUGAUGAGCACGAAUUAGGGUGUGUCUGCAUUUUAUCCCUCUAAAUAGAGGAAUAACAAAAUUUUAUUCUUUAAAUGUUUGCUUUCUUAUCACACAUUCUACACAAACACCAUUUUUUCUUCCUUAUUUUCACUUCAAGGAGGANUAAUAUUAUCCCUCCAAUUUUGGUGUGAUAAUAUUAUCUCUUCUUGAAGUGAAAAUAAGGAAGAAAAAAUGGUAUUUGUGUAGGAUGUGGGAUAAGAAAGCAAACAUUUAAAGGUAUAAAUUUUUGUUAUUCCUCAUUUAGAGGAAUAAAAAGCAAACACACAUUAGAGUCUACUUACAAUUUAGGCGCAGGCUGUGCGAGAAUUACUUAGUCGAAUAGGAUCCUAAGUAUUUAUAUUUCUCAUGUUCUUGUGUAUUUUUUUACUGAUUCACUAUUGGAUUAACAAGAAUUAUCUUACUUUAAAUUUCUUGCUUUAAAAAAAAAAAAGAAUUAUCUUACUUCAUGUAUGGUAUGCCAACUGUUCGAUAAAGGUCCUUUUAGAAAUCUUCUAUUGAUUACCUUGCGAAGACCACAAAACUAGACACACCCAAAAGCAUUCUUGCAUAGUUUAUACAUAGAGAUGGCCGAUUGAUGAUCGUCUUAUUUGUAGACUUAACGCGAGCAGACUCGAUCGCUUAGUCCUUAUUGAUUUACGACACACAUGCUCACACACACACAUACACACAUCACAAAAUCACACAAAUUGACGGAUAAUGUUGCCGUUCAGCUCCUUCCUGAACCUCACCGCGGCAUUUUUCUGCACCAUAGUGGCCGUGAAAUACCACGAGACGAUGUCAUGGACGGCGACGUGUUGUCCGGUGGCGGCGGAUAGCCCGACCUGAACCUGCUGAGGAACAAAGUCGCUCAAAUCGUACUCAUAGUUGACAUCAAAUGUCUGCGAGCCGGCGGUGACUUUCACGGAGAUCAUCCUUGUGGCUCCGACGUAGUUGAUCCGCGCAGUCACCUGCUGCCCGAGUAUGGAGUUGUCGACCUUCGUCGUGUUGCUGGAUGCCCUAGAGCCGAAGUCGAUGCCGAUGUGGGGAUAGAGCGGAUCCCACGCGCCGUUGACGUAGGUGUCGAUUUCGACGGCGAAGACCGAGGGGCUGUUGCCGUUGGAGCCAAAGAUUCCGAGGUUGGCUCCGUUGGAGCCAGGGGGGAUGGUGGAACCGACGGGGGCAAUGAAGAAGGCGAGGCCGUCGGCAGGCUCGUUGUCGGCGCCCGGGGUGAUGAUGAAGUUCACAGUGGUUUCGAAGUCGACCUGCCCACCGGACUGCGAGAAUUGGACCGGGUUCGAGUGCAAGACGCGGCCGACUUGUGAGGGCUGUGCGUCUGUGAGGCGGAGGAAGGUGGAGUCCGUCGGGAAAUGGGCGCUGCCUUGAUAGAUGAGAUCUUUCGGCUGGUCGCCCCAGAAGUCGUAGGUGAAGGACGUCGUUUGGGACAACGCCGUGUUGGAAACGGCGAGGAGGAGGGCGAUGGAGGCGAGGAGAGGAGUUAAGGUUUGAACAAGCUGGUUGGCCAUGGCUUAAUUGAUUUAGAUUUAGAUUUAGAGAUGUGGUGGAUGAUGGUGGCCAGGUAUCGAUCUCUUGCACCUAUUUAUACUAGUAUGGUUCAUGCCUGUUAAUAAUUGUAUAUAUCAAUCAAUCAUCGUGCAUCUAUCCCAAAUUAUAUGUCUUAUUAUUCACUAAUUAGAUGGAAUAAAUCCUAAUUAGCAAUCUUAAAAUUACACCGCCAAUGAGGCCUUGCUCUAGUGGUAAAGCUGUGGCACCGAAUAACUUUUCUUUGUGAAAGGUCUUGGGUUCAAUCUCGCCUGCAUGCGGUGAUGUUUGUCCAUUUUAGAUGGUGUGGUAUUCUUGCCUGCGUGCGGUGUUGUAUUAUUUAGUCUUAGGCGUUCUUGCCUGUGUGCAUAUCACUGUGUGACAAUUAAAAGAAUGACUUUAAAAUAAAAGUUAAGCCUUAAAAAUUUAAUCUACAUUCAUAUAUAACUGAAAUUACAUGCAUGUCUAAUUUUUUUAAUAUCAUAACAAGAUAAGAUUUAUUAAAUAAUUCAGAUGCAUAAAUAAAAAGUUAAUCUAUAAACACAGUAUAGAUAUAUUAUCAAUGAUAGGCCGUGUAUAAGUCUUAAUCUGUAAAACUAUAUCAUCCCAGCCUUAAACGACUACCAUUCCUGCUUUCCCAGAGCAACCACACUGUUCCCACCCACAAAGCUUUAAGCAGUACAUGCAUGUCUAAAUAUUAUUUAUAAUUAUCAAUAACAAGAUUAAUGAUUCUAUAUCUCUAUGUUUAUACAUAUAUUCACGUAUGACAUAGUAUAUAUUAGCUAUUAAGUUAAAAACUAAUAAAAUACUACAGUUUUGCAUAGGAUAUAUAUUUAAUUAGUAGUAGGAUAGGACACGUGUAUUAAUUUUAAGGGCAAGUAAUCAAACUUUUGAAUGAUUCAUCAUGCUUAAAAAAAAAAAGAGACCUAGAUAGAUGAUUCAUCAGAUUCAAAAACAAGUAUAAAUAGACUUCGAGUUUGAAAUUUUAAUUAAUUUGCAACAACAAUUCAAACUGACUGUAUUAAGGUAAGUAGUUACAGAUUUCAUACACAUUAUAUGAUUUCGCGCACAUACGUAUGUAUAUAUAAAUAUUUUUUAAAAUCAUAUACUCCCUCCGUCCCCAAAAUAAGUUCCUCUUUGGGGACGGCACGGAUUUUAAGGAAAAGUGGUAAAGUGUAUUAAUAGUGGAGAAAAAUAUGUUAUAAUUAGUAUUGGAAGUUGUGAAAAGGUGAAAAAGUGUUAUAAUUAGUAUUGGGAGUGGUGAAAAAGUGAAAAGUAAGAAUAAAUAAAGUAUUAUUAGUGGUGGGGUAGUUGUCCAAAAAUGGAAAAAAAGAAAGAGGAACUUAUUUGGGGGACAUCCCAAAAUGGAAAAAGAGGAACUUAUUUCAGGGACGGAGGGAGUAUUAUAUAAUAAUUAUAUUUAAGUUUUAUAUUAUUCUUUAUAAACUAUUGUUCCAUUCUAUAUAAUUAGGUGUGGCACGACUAGGACGUAACUUUCGAUUGAAUUUCUCAAGUUAAUUUUCAAGUUCAAGUUUCAGGUGUGAGAUUUAUUUAAAUACAUGUCAUGAUUAUUCAUUGUCCAUUUUAAUAGUAUGUGUUUACCAUAUGUGUUAUGACGCAUAUUUUGAGGACAUCGCUAGGAGCCCAUAAAUAGGGUCCAGGACUUCACCGUCCUUGGAUUGCCACAAUGCGAUUUGAGGUUUAUUUUGAGGAUGUCGUCAGGGGCCCGUAAAUAGGGUCCAGGACUUUAAUAGUCAUUGGGUUGCCACAGUGCGAAUAUUGAAGAUAUAUAUGAAGUGACCGUAUGUGUUACCGUUUCAUUAACGUGGACAAUGAUUGCAUGUUUAAGAGACAAUAACCAAUUUUUCAGACAUUUGUGAACAAAAUGAAGCAUGUUUAGAGAUCCUUAAUAAAGGUGUACGAAAUGAUGGAUAAAUAAGUUUGUGAAACAAAUUUCACCAUACCUAACCCCACAAUUAUUUGCGGUCGAAUUUCCUCGUCACAGGAAAAAGAGAUGAUGACAAAAGGGCAAAAAUUAAUUAACAAAGUAGAAGAUGCAUGACAACUGUAAAAGAAAAAUAAUGCUACUAAUUAAAUAGUCCAAACUUCAUACGUUUCAUAUCAUAAGUGGCAGUUCUAUUUUUUUUUUGCGAAAGUGAACAAAAUAACGAAUAAUUUUUAAAGUAAUAGUAAUAAGGAGAUGUGUUUUGACAGAAAACGACAUGAGCGGCCUAAAAAUAAGAGGGAAAAAGAUAAUCAUAUAAAUAUGGGUUAAUUGCCUCUAAAUACACCACCUUUCCUUGAAUUCUACAAUUGCACAUCACCUUUAAAAUCCGCCCUUAAAUACACCACCUUUCCUUGAGUUCUACAAUUGCACAUCACCUUUAAAUCCGCCCCAAAAUACAUCAUCUUUAUAUUUUUUCUGUUUUUGCACAUGACUAAAAAAUUCUCAAGAAAUAAAUUAAAGUGUUAAUUUAUAAAUUUAAAUAUCUUUUUAGCAGCGAAAACAUAAUAAAAUAAAAUUCUUUAUAAAGUUUAAAAUCAUAUAUAUAUAUAUAUAUAUAUAAGUAUUUUCGUAAAGAAAUAAAUUCUCUAAUAAAUUUUUAGAAAGAACUUGAAUUAAAAAAAUAAACAAGUCAUGACAUUAAGAAAAUAAAAUGAAAUUUUUAUUUUAAUAAAUUUCACACGAAUUCGAUAUAAUUUGGAAUUUAGAGUUACAAUAAUCAGAAGUACCACAUGAAUAAUAUAAUGAGUUUGAAAGAAAUUUUUUUUAAAGAGGUUCGACACGCCCAUUCGACUUUCCACGCGCCUCCAAUGUCAUUUACCUGAAAUAUUAANUAUAUAAGUAUUUUUCGUAAAGAAAUAAAUUCUCUAAUAAAUUUUUAGAAAGAACUUGAUUAAAAAAUAAACAAGACAUGACAUUAAGAAAAUAAAAUGAAACUUUUAUUUUAAUAAAUUUCACACGAAUUCGAUAUAAUUUGGAAUUUAGAGUUACAAUAAUAAAAAGAACCACAUAAAUAAUAUAAUCAGUUUGAAAGAAAUAUAUAUAUAUUUUUUUAAAGAGGUUCGACGCGCCCAUUCGACUCUCCACGCGCUACCAAUGUCAUUACCUGAAAUACUAAAUAUGGGAUAAGCAUACAUAAUAUACUUAGUGUGGGAACAUGCAAUUAUUGUCCACGUUAAUAAAAUAGUAACACAUACGAUCAUAACAUUCAAAACGACACAAUUUUGCCAAUAUGGAAGCCACGUCAUUUAAAGUGGUAACACCCUAAUCUAACUAAAGUGUUAAAUAUAAAUUUAAAGCGGAAAUAUAAUAAAAUAAAGUUCUUUAUAAAAAUAAAUAAAGAAUUUUAUUUUAUUAUAUUUCCGCUGCUAAAAAAGAUAUUUAAAAUUUAUAAAUUAACACUUUAAUUUAUUUCUUGAGGAUUUUUAAGUCAUGUGCAAAAACAGAAAAAAAAUAUAAAGGUGAUGUAUUUUGGGGCGGAUUUAGAAUUCAAGGAAAUGUGGUGUAUUUAGGGGCGGAUUUUAAAGGUGAUGUGCAAUUGUAGAAUUCAAGGAAAGGUGGUGUAUUUAGGGGAAAUUAACCCUAUAAAUAUUCAAAAUCAAACGGAUUGGCAUGUAUUCAUCAUUUUUUAUUUUUUAUUUUGAUAAUUUAACAGUAUUAAAUAAAGAAAUUUAUAGGCUGCGUCCCUUACUGCUUGGCUUUUAGAUUAUGUUGUAAUAAUAAAAUUAAAAGCACGUUUACAAUAUAAAAUUAAUUAUGAUAAAUACAAUAUAUUAAUAAUAAAUACUCAAUUACCUCUUAACAUAAUUCGCGCAUCAUGGCUUUUAGCUUAUAUUAUAAAGAUAUAAUAUGUUGUCUAUAAUAAUCGACGGAAGGUAAUAGACAACAUGUUUUACUUCUUGUCUAUAAUAAUAUAGACAGUAGAUCUAGUGUUAUAGAUAACAAUUAAUACGUGUUGUCUAUAUGAUGAUAGACACCAAAAAUCUCUGUUGUCUAUUCUAUGACAAAAAAAUUUAAAAAAAUUCUAAUAUAUUUACAUCCCUGUAUUACAAUACCAAUAUAUAUGAAAAAAUAAAAAUAAUUAAAAAUCAAAUAAUCAAACAAUACUUAUAAACCACUAAUACUCACAAUCAAAUAUUUACACAUCAACAAUUGUAUUAUCUUUAAUUACGCCUUCAUUUAUCUACUAAAAAAAAUCUCUAAUAAAAUCUCUAACUAACUCCGGUCAUCAUCUCUUGAAGGCUUAGAAAAUGUCCAAAUACAGCGGCACAUGCUCAUUAUUGUGUGAGCGAUGAGAACUUUGCGCUGAACCUAUAAAGUAACUAUACUUAACUGGUAAAGUAAUUGUAUCCCGUGAAUCUAAAGGAAGAAUAAACACGUUGAUAGAGUUUGAAAGAAAAGAAUAAAGAGAAUGAAAAUCCAAAGAAUUUGCUUCUUCCGUUGAACAAUCCCUACACAACGUUGAAAUAUCAAUGAAAACAAUGGCUAUCCUAUACUCCCUCCAUCCAUGAAAGAACUUCCUAGGAGGGAGUGACACGGGUUUUAAGAAAAAAUAUUGUUAAGUGUAUUGAGAGUGGAUAAAAGGUAGUUGAGUGUAUUGGGAGUGGUGAAAAUGUGUUAUAGUUAAUAUUGAGAGUUGUGAAAAGUGAAAAGUAAGAGGAUUAUAAGUGGUGGGGUAUAGUCCAAAAAUAGGUAGGAAGUUCUUUUGUGGACGUCCCAAAAAGGAAAGAUAUGAAGUUCUUUCGUGGACGGAGGGAGUAUUAUUUUGCAGCAGCAACCACGUUUAAAAACUCGAUCCCUCUAUUCUUGAAUUUGUGAAAUUUCCGACUGAUUUAUUAGAUUCACCAUUUAUUUCAGUUUAAUUAGUCUAUAUAUAGAUAUUUCUUAUAUUAUUAAAUUGUUAACCUCAUGGUAGAUUUCAAGAUUUGAAAAUUCAACAAAGAGCUUGAGAAUUAUAGAGAUUGGAAGGGGAAGAUGAAACAUAGUUGGGUGAAAUUAGAAACCAAUUAAAGUCAGGAGAUUGAAGAAAAACAUAACUUAAAAACACAAAAUAAGCAAAUCGUAGAUGCAGUAUCUUGCAAGAAAAAGUUCAUAUUCCCAAGGCUAUGAUGAGCACGAAUUAGGGUGUGUCUGCAUUUUAUCCCUCUAAAUGGAGGAAUAAUAAAAUUUUAUGCCUUUAAAUGUUUGCUUUCUUAUCACACAUUCUAAACAAACACCAUUUUUUCUUCCUUAUUUUCACUUCAAUGAGGGAUAAUAUUAUCCCUCCAAUUUUGGUGUGAUAAUAUUAUCCCUCCUACAAGUGAAAAUAAGGAAGAAAAAAUGGUACUCCCUUCGUCCCAAACGAAAUGUCCUGUUUUCCUUUUUGGGCUGUCCCAAACGAAAUGUCCUGUUUCCUUUUUUGGCAAUACACUCUCUCUCUAUACUUAAUAUUUAAAUAAUUUUCACCAACCCACUUUAUCUACUUUAUACACAUUUCUUAAUCUCCGUGCCGAAAAGAAAUGGGACAUUUCGUUUGGGACGGAGGGAGUAUUUGUGUAGGAUGUGGGAUAAGAAAACAAACAUUUAAAGACAUAAAUUUUUGUUAUUCCUCCAUUUAGAGGGAUAAAAAGCAAACACACCUUAGAGUCUAAUUACAAUUUAGGCGCAGGCUGUGUGAGAAUUACUUAGUCGAAUAGGAUCCUUAGUAUUUAUAUUUCUCAUGUUCUUGUGUAUUUUUUCACUGAUUCACUAUUGGAUUAACAAGAAUUAUCUUACUUUAAAAAAAAAAAAGAAAUGAUCUUACUUCAUGUAUGGUAUGCCAACUGUUCGAUAAAGGUCCUUUUAGAAAUAUUCCAUAGAUUACCUUGCAAAGACCACAAAACUAGACACACCCUGCAUAGUUUAUACAUAGGGAUGGCCGAUUGAUGAUCGUCUUAUUUGUAGACUUAACGAGAGCAGACUCGAUCGCUUAGUCCUUACUGAUUUACGACACACAUGCACACAUACACAGAUACACACAUCACAAAAUCACGCAAAUUGACGGAUAAUGUUGCCGGCCAGCUCCUUCCUGCUCCACGCCACGGCAUUUUUCUGCACCAUGGUGGCCGUGAAAUACCACGAGACGAUGUCAUGGGUGGCGACGUGUUGUCCGGUGGCGGCGGAUAGCCCGACCUGAACCUCCUGAGCAACAAAGUAGCUCAAAUCGUACUCAUAGCUGACAUCAAACGUCUGAUUGCCGGCGGUGACUUUGACGGAGAUCAUCCUUGUGGCUCCGACGUAGUUGAUCCGCGCAGUUACCUGCUGCUUGAGUAUGGAGCUGUCGACCGGCGUCGUCUUGCUGGAUACCCUAGAGCCGAAGUCGAUGCCGAUGUGGGGAUAGAGCGGAUCCCACGCGCCGUUGACGUAGGUGUCGAUUUCAACGGCGAAGACCCCGGGGCUGUUGCCGUUGGAGCCAAAGAUUCCGAGAUUGGCUCCGUCGGAGCCAGGGGGGAUGGUGGAGUCGACGGGGGCAAUGAAGAAGGCGAGGCCGUCGGCAGGCUCGUUGUCGGCGCCGGGGGUGAUGAUGAAGUUCACGGUGGUUUCGAAGUCGACCUGCCCAUUGGACAUCCAGAAUUGGACCGGUUCCGAGUACAUGACGCGGCCGACUUGGGACGGUUGUGCGUCUGUGAGGCGGAGGAAGGUGGAGUCCGUCGGGAAAUGGGCGUUGCCUUGAUAGAUGAGAUCUUUCGGCUGGUCGCCCCAGAAGUCGAAGGUGAACGACGUCGUUUGGGACAACGCCGUGUUGGAAACGGCGAGGAGGAGGGCGAUGGAGGCGAGGAGAGGAGUUAAGUUGGCCAUGGCUUAAUAGAUUUAGAUUUAGAGAUGUGGUGGAUGAUGGUGGUAUCGAUCUGUUGCACCUAUUUAUACUAGUAUGGUUCAUGCCUGAUAAUAAUUGUAUCAAUCAAUCAUCGUGCAUCUAUCCCAAAUUAUAUGUCUUAUUAUUCACUAAUUAGAUGGAAUAAAUCCUAAUUUGCAAUCUUAAAAUUAAACCGCCAAUGAGGCCUUGCUCUAGUAGCAAAGCUGUGGCACCCAAUAACUUUUCUUUGUGAAAGGUCUUGGGUUCAAUCUCGCCUGCAUGCGGUGAUGUUUGCCCACUUUAGGUGGUGUGGUAUUCUCGCCUGCGUGCGGUGUUAUAUUGUUUAGUGUUAAGGUCCCACAUGCAGGGCGUUCUUGCAUGUGUGCGUGUCACAACCCAAAACCAUUUAUUUUCUUUACAAAUUUUAUAUGAAAAUUAUUUGAUUUUUAAGUUAUAGAGUUUUCGAUAUAUAUACAUAUAGUGUCAAUUUUAUGUUAACUUAGUCGUGUCCCUAAUUAAAAGAAUGAAUUUGAAAUAAAAGUUAAGCCUUAAAAAUUUAAUCUACAUUCAUAUAUAACUGAAAUUACAUGCAUGUCUAAAUAUUAUUUAUAAUUAUCAAUAACGGGAUUAAUGAUUCUAUAUCUCUAUGUUUAUACAUAUAUUCACGUAUGACAUAGUAUAUAUUAGCUAUUAAGUUAAAUAAAAUACUACAGUUUUGCAUAGGAUAUAUAUUUAAUUAGUAGUAGGAUAGGACACGUGUAUUAAUUUUAAGGGCAAGUAAUCAAACUUUUGAAUGAUUCAUCAUGCUUAAAAAAAAGAGACCUAGAUAGAUGAUUCAUCAGAUUCAAAAACAAGUAUAAAUAGACUUCGAGUUUGAAAUUUUAAUUAAUUUGCAACAACCAUUCAAACUGACUGUAUUAAGGUAAGUAGUUACAGAUUUCAUACACAUUAUAUGAUUUCGCGCACAUACGUAUGUAUAUAUAAAUAUUUUUUAAAAUCAUAUAUUAUAUAAUAAUUAUAUUUAAGUUUUAUAUUAUUCUUUAUAAACUAUUGUUCCAUUCUAUAUAAUUAGGUGUGGCAUGACUAGGACGUAACUUUCGAUUGAAUUUCUCAAGUUAAUCUUCAAGUUCAAGUUUCAGGUGUGGGAUUUAUUUAAAUACAUGUCGUGGUUAUUUAUUAUCCAUUUUAAUAAUAUGUGUUUACCAUAUGUGUUAUGAUGCAUAUUUUGAGGAUAUCGCUAGGGGCCCAUAAAUAGGGUCCAGGACUUCACCGUCCUUGGAUUGCCACAAUGCAAUUUGAGGUUUAUUUUGAGGAUGUCGUCAGGGAUCCGUAAAUAGGGUCCAGGACUUUAAUAGUCCUUGGGUUGCCACAGUGCGAAUAUAUUGAGGAUAUAUAUGAAGUGACCGUAUGUGUUACCGUUUCAUUAACGUGGACAAUGAUUGCUUGUUCUCACACUGAGUGUACUCUGUAUGCUCAUCCCAUAUUUAACGUGGAAGGUCGAUUGACGAAUCAAAUAUUUUGUAUUUAGCUUUACCUAAAUAUGUUAUUUUGAGUAAAGUAUUUUAAAUAAAAAUUUAUUUCAUAAUUUUCUCAUUAAAUAUUUAUUUAUAUUCAUAGCUUUUCCGCACAAAUAUUUAUUUAAAUUUUAAUUAGAUUUGGGUGUCACUGUGCGGUGAUGUUUUUCCACCGUUUCGGUGGUGGUGAGGCCCCACCUGCGUGCACGUUAUAUACUUGAUUAUAUUCAGAUACCUCUUGUAAUUUUUAAAAAAAUAAUCAUAAAAUUAAACCAAAGCAUAUAAAAUUGAAAUUGGCCAAAAAAAUAUAUAAAAAUAAAUAAAAUUAAAAAUGGGAUAUAAAGUGAGACAUUAAAUGUGGUACACUACUGAAUCUCAAUCCAACACGUGGAUGCUACAUUGUACUUGUCGGAAUAUUAGAACUUCUACAAAAUAUUGCUAUUGGAAACGUGAAAUUUUAUUAUGAGAAAACUUAUACCUGACCCCACAGUCGUGGGCACGUGUUAUGUUGCGCGGAAAUUAAAGUGGUGGGGACCGUAAAUGGUAUUUUAGUCUUUUAAUUUAUUUUAGUAUACAAAAGAGUUAAUUUUAAAGAGGCGCUAAAAAACACAUCACUUUUAAAAAUUGGUAUUUAAAAUCUUGAACCCCUUUUAUUAUUUUAGAAAGAUAUUAAUUAAUUGAUAAAUUAAUAAAUUAUUAAUUGAAACAAUUAUUUUAAGCAAAUUUAAUUAUAAUUACCUAAAAAUUUAAAAAACAUAAAUUCAAUACCAUUCAAAUUCAACAAACUAACUUAAAUUUUUACUUUAAAAAAUCUUCAUCAAUCUUGCAAUCUCGGCUUGGACUAUAAAUGUUCAACAAGAGACAAUAACCAAUUUUUCAGACAUUUGUGAACAAAAUGAAGCAUGUUUAGAGAUCCUUAAUAAAGGUGUACGAAAUGAUGGAUAAAUAAGUUUGUGAAAAUUUCACCAUACCUAACCCCACAAUUAUUUGCGAUCGAAUAUCCUCGUCACAGGAAAAAGAGAUGAUGACAAAAGGGAAAAAAAAAUUAACAAAGUAGAAGAUGCAUGACAACUGUCAAGAUAAAUAAUGUUACUAAUUAAAUAAUCCAAACUUUAUACGUUUCAUAUCAUAAGUGGCAGUUCUAUAUUUUUUGCGAAAGUGAACAAAAUAACGAAUAAUUUUUAAAGUAAUAGUAAAAGGAGAUGUGUUUUGACAGAAAACGACAUGAGCGGCCUAAAAAUAAGAGGGAAAAAGAUAAUCAUAUAAAUAUUCAAAAUCAAACGGAUUGGCAUGUAUUCAUCAUUUUUUAUUUUAAUAAUUUAACAGUAUUAAAUCAAGAAAUUUAAAGACCGCGCCCCUUACUGCUUGGCUUUAAGAUUAUGUUACAAUAAUAAAAUUAACAGCACGUUUACAAUAUAAAAUUAAUUAUGAUAAAUGCAAUAUAUUAAUAAUAAAUACUCAAUUACCUCUUAACAUAAUUCGCGCAUCAUGGCUUUUAGCUUAUGUUAUAAAGAUGGAGUAUAAAAUAAUCAUCACCUGUGCAUGAUAUUUCACAAAAUAAUUAAAUAAUAAAAUAAUCAAUCAUAAUGCCAAGACGUGACUCUUGUCGGUCAUAUCUCAUCAACUUUAUCUAUAUAGUACAAUGAUGAUUAAUUUGAGAACGACGAUUAAGACACCAACUAUUCUUGUGGGGACACAUGCAUAUAUAGAAUUAAUAUUAUAAACUCUCUCGGUCCACGAAAUAACUUACUAUUUUUUCUUUUAAGAACGUGAACAAAAAAAAUUCCCAUCGAUAUUUCGGAACUAUACCCCACUACUUUAAAAUACCUCAUUUUACCCUUUCUUUUUCACAAAAACAACAAAUUACUAAUAAUUUUUCACUAUUCCUAAUAUACUGAACAAUUUUUCUCCACUCUCAAAUUUUGUAGCACCGAAUAAAAUUAAAUACUAGUAUUAUUUUUUGUAGAACUAUAAAUAAAUAUUAUUCUCAAAACAUGUACUAUUACUUACUAUUUUUUUUAAAUGUGGGACGACCAAAAAAGGAAAGAUGAAUUCUAAAAGCUGGGACAGAGGAUAUAUUAUUUUUCUUCUUGGUUCUGAAGUAUGAAUAUUAAUUAACAAUUCUUCGUCCACAUCAAGCUCACCUUCACGUAAUUUUUUCUUGAACAACACCGAAAAAUAUAUAAUCCCAACAUAGCAUGAUCAAUCUCAAUGCACCAAACAUAAAUUAGUUUUAAAAUAAUAAUAAGAUUAACUACUAUAUUGCUGAAUUAUGCAGUAGAAUUAAAAGCGUGAUUUUUUUUUAAUAGAGCAGGUUAAUCUAGGCCUACCUGAACCAUCUGACUAUGCAUGAGUUUGAUUUUUCUUCUUGAUCUUUUUUAAUUUUACCGACAAAGAAGAUUUUCACAAAUGAAAAGAAAACGUUCUAGUAACAUACUACAUGCUUACUUCAGAUUUGCAACCAAGUCUAUUGAGGGUUUUAUUUGCUACAUAUAUAAACACAAGGAUUUGGUUUGAUACAAAUUAAGAAUAUUCAACUUUCAUCGGCUCAAGCACAUAGAAUCUCCCCGAGUAGUUAUAACUGGUCAAUGUUUUUGCCGAUAAAAAGGAAAAGGAAAGAAAAAAGAAAGAAGCAAGACGGAGAAAAAGUUGUAGUAAAUGAUUAUGCGAUGAAAAGAAAAUGGAAAAGAGAAAGAAAGAAGAAAGUUGUAGGAAUUUUGAAGAAUUUGUACUUAUUUAGAAUUGUGGUUAUUGUGGGAUCUUGUAUAAUAAUAAUAAUAAUAAUAAUAAUAAUAAUAAUAAUUAUUGGGCCGUUCCACGAAUCUUGGCACAUUUUCAAAUAAGGUAAUAAUUCAUUCUCUCUCUUACUUUAUCACUUUAAUACUUUAUUAACUACAAACUUAAAACACUAAUAUACAAUUCCUUAAUUCCCGUGUCGAAACCAAACGUGUCAAGAUUCGUUGGAUGGAGGGAGUAAUAAUAAUAAUAAUAAUAAUAGUAAUAAUAAUAAUAAUAAUAAUAAUAAUACAUCAUUGCCCUUUAAAAAGUUUUAAAAUAGGAACAUAAUAUGUAAAUCUAAUUUUGUAAAAGAAGCUCUUCUAUAGUAAUAGUUAUAGAUUUGGUGUGGAGGCAUUUGUUUGAGAAUGGGUAAAACAUACCAUUAACCCUUUGAUAUAUGCACGAGACACUUAUUUGUGGAUAGGACAAGAAUUAUUUUGUUGCAUAGGAUCCCUUCCAAAUGUAAUUACUGAUUCACAAUUGGAUUAACAAGAAUUAACUUACUUCAUAUUCAGUAUUCCAACUGUUCGAUAAAAGUUCUUAAUGAAAUCUUCCAUAGAUUACCCAAAUGCAUUGUUUUGCAUAGUCCGUACAUUGAGAUGGUCGAGUAUCUUAUGUCUAGACUUAACGAGAGCAGACUCGAUCGCUUAGUCCUUAUUUAUUUACGACACACACACAUCUCAAAAUCACACAAAUUGACGAAUAAUGUUGCCAGCCAGCUCCUUCCUGUUCCACGCGCCAGCAUUUGUCUUCACCAUGGUGGCUGUGAAAUACCAUGAGAUAAUAUCAUGUUUGGCGACGUAUGGUUGGUUUAGUCCGCUGGCGGCGGAGAGCCCUACCUGAACCUGCUCAGGAAGAAACUCGCCCAAAUUGUACACAUGGCUGACCUCAAACGUCUUCGAGCCGGCGGUGGCACUGACGGUGAUCAUCUUCGUGGCUCCGACGUAGUUGAUCCGCGCAGUCACCUGCUGUCCGACUAUGGCGUCUCCGACAUUCGUCGUGUUGCUGGAUUCCCUAGAUCCGAGGUCGAUGCCGAUGUGGGGAUAGUUCGGAUCCCACGGGCUGUUGAUGAAGGUGUCGAACUCGACGGCGAAGACCGAGGGGCUAUUGCCGUUGGAGCCGAAAAUUCCGAGGUUGGCCCCAACAGCGCCACUGGGGAUGGUGGAGCCGACGGGGGCAAUGAAGAAAGCGAGGCCGUCAGCGGUUUUGCCAUCGGGGCUGGGUGUGAUGAUGAAGUUAAUGGUGGUUUCAAAGUCGACUUGGCCACCGGAUUGGGAGAACUGGACCGGCUUCGAGUACAAGACCCGGCCGACCUGGUAUGUCUCGAAGUCGGUGAGGCGGAGGAAGGUGGAGUCCGAUGGGAAAUGGGCGUGGCCUUGGUAGGUGAGAUCGGUCGGCUGGUCGCCCCAGAAGUCGUAGGUGAAGGACGUUGUUUGGGACCACACCGUGUUGGCAGCGGCGGCAAGGAGAAGGGCGAUGGAGAUUAGGGUUUGUUGAAGGUUGGCCAUCGCUUAAUUGAUUUGGAUGUGGUGGAUGAUGGUGGUAUCUUUAUCUUGCUUCUAUUUAUAGUAGUAUAACGAGCCCUAGUUAAUUAUCUUUAAAUCAUACUAAAAUAUCAUAAAUUAAAAUUGAAGAAAAAAAAGUUAAAACCUACUCUCGCAGUCCCUCAAAUAACUUCUUAGGAGAAGAGGGGUAGGAGUUUUAAGACGAAGUUAAUGUGCAAAGUAAGGAUAAA